UUUUUUUCCCUCUAGCUCAUGGAGAUAAUUUUUUGUAAGAGAGGCACACGAUGGGGGUAUGAUGGGUCACUUUGGAAUCGACAAGACCCUUGGAAUCCUAGAGGAAUAAUUCUAUUGGCCCAAGAUGCAUCAAGAUGUUGCUAGAAUUUGUGGCCAAUGCAUGUAUUGUAGAAGUGAAAAAUCUUGCCUUCCCCUUCAAGGAUUAUAUACCCCACUACCCACUUCUCAACGCUCGUAGCUUGACAACUCUAUGAAUUUUGUUUUGGGAUUGCCUAGGACAAGGAGGGGUAGAGACUUCAUUUUUGUUAUGGUUGAUAGGUUCUCAAAAAUGUCCCAUUUCACUCCAUGUCAUAAAAUUAAUGAUGCUUUUAAUGUGUGUUCUUUGUUUGUUGAGCAUGUUGUCAAAAUACAUAGAAUUCCUCAAACUAUUUUUAGUGAUAGGGACUCUAAGUUCCUUAGUAACUUUUGGAGGUCGUUGUGGGGUAGGCUUGGAACCAAAUUGUUUUUCUCCAUAUCUUGCCACCCAAAAAUGGAUGGGCAAAUGGAGGUGGUAAAUAGAACCAUGGGUUCUAUGUUGCACACCUUAGUUAAAGGAAAAAUCGCCUCUUGGGAGAAUCACUUACCUCUAUUUGAAUUUUCUUAUAAUCGUGUUAUCCAUUCGGCUAUUGGUAUAACUCCCUUUGAAUGUGUUUAUGGUUUUAACUCCCUUACACCUUUAUAUCUUACUCCUUUUCUGAGUGAUAUUUUUAUAAGCUUAGAUGGAGAUGAGAGGGCAGAAACAAUGAAGAAGUUGUAUGAGAAGGUGAGAAUUCGCCUUGAGAAGAAGAAUCAAGAGGUGGCCAAAAGAGUAAACAAGGGAAGGAAGUGGCUUGUGCUUGAACUGGGAGAUUGGGUGUCACCUUCGAAAGGAUAGGUUUCUAACCCAAAGAAAAUCCAAAUUGAUACCUCGAGGUGAUGGUCCAUUGAAAGUACUUGAAAGGAUAAACGAUAAUGCCUAUAAGAUUUACCUUCCUUCAGAAUAUCAAGUACACAAUACCUUUAAUGUGUGUGAUCUUUCACUCUUUGACAUGAUAGAAUAUGAUCACCCUUUGAAUUUGAGGUCAAAUUCUUCUCAAGAUGGAUAGGAUUAUAUAAUUCGGAUUAGCUCCAAACCAUUCACUAGAAGUCAAUCUCGAGAGCUUCAAAGGAUCCAAGGAUUGUUCAUGAAGCGGGAGGUACUUGAAGAAGCCUCUUUACCAUCAAGAGGGUGUUAUUUGUGUAUGAUCACACUAACAUUGGUCCAAGGAUCGUUGAAGGAGGCAAGCAAAGGAAAUAUGGGACUAGAAAGCCCCUUGGAAAGGACUUGCGCCCAAGGCACUUUGGAUCCACUUUUGAUGUGCUCUAUCAUUUCAAAAGCGGAUCAAAACAGUCCCUAGUGGGACUAUCUUGAAAUUCGGUCACUUUUGGGCCCUAAAAUUGUAAUAAUUAGCCUAAACUUUAAAUACUUUUGAGGAUGGCUCAUUCUCUUAGUUUUAGCUUAAUUAUUGAUGAAUUUAUGAAUGCUUCUCCAUUGAGUGAGAGUAUUGGACAACUUUUGUUUAACUUUGAUUUAGAGGGCGUUCAUCUCCCUCUUGGUCACCAUAAGAAUUAGGUGUUCGAUUAGAUUGUAAUUGAGGGUAUUAGAGUUUGACAUACUCUUUUGUUCUUGGUUACUUUUUUUCUUGUGUCUAAUUAUCUAUCUUAUCGAUUAUAUUUAAUUUUUUGUAUCGUCUUUAGUUUUUGUAGUUUGAUUCUGUAUAAACUUAUUUUCCAACUUUUCUCAAUCUUCCCUUAUUUCUCCCUUUUGAUUAUCUUUCUACUUAUUCAGAUUGGGUGCGGUCUUUUAAUCUUUUUUUUCACAUUUUUCACAAUUUUCUCAUUUUUCUUUUUUCUACCACACCCAACCCUACUUUCUUUUCUAUCCAUACCUCUUCUUCAUACCUAUUUUUCUUUGCACACCCCUAUGAUAGCCACCCUUAACUUAGACUAUUUUCCUAAGUUGAGGUGCACAAAUUCCAAGGAGGACCAGGGCCAAAACAAAUCAAUUAAAAUGGGAAGGUGAAUUGGUGUAAACAAAAAAUAUUAGGUUCAUUAAGGUUCAAAUUUGGGAUCCAGGGAUUCUUAUUAGCAUUUGGUUGGUUAUUUAGGCUAAAGUAGACUGCAUUCAAAAAUGGCCUAUGAUCCUUUCCUAACUGAUAAUAAUACAACCUAGGAAAGACUAACCAUGCAAGUUCUAGAUUCCAUACACAUAGGGAACUACGUAACGCCUCACACACACAUUGUUCAGGGGUACAUUGCUAAUUACUUUCUAUCUAGUUCAUGCAAUUGCUUGCCAUAGUAAUUACGUCCCUUAUUCUAAUGCCAUUACAAGAUUCACAAUGGUCACAUACAUAUACACCUCACACAAUUGUCAAAAUUUUAGGAGUGGUAUUAUUUUCUUAAACAACUUAAGCAAAUUCAGCAUAAAAUUAGUCAAAACAUGUUCACUAGGUCAGGUACAAAUUCUCUUCCUUAUUAAGCAUCUAAGAAAACAUCACAUUUAAACUAAACUAGACAUGCUAGUUUCAUAUUCAAAUUGCAGUCAAUGGGAAAAGAAACCCGCUACAACAACACACUACGGCUAUGUAGUACACCCGCGAUGGCUAUGCGGUACACCCCCACCCCCAAAUAAAUACUUACACAUUGUCCCUAGUGCAUGUAUAAAGUAAAAAUAAGGAGUGAAAAUGUACAUAGGUGCACUAGGUGCCAGCUCAAAUAGUAUCAGUAUGUGGGGCCUCAGUACGGACCCCACUUUCUCAUCAGUGGCCCUAGUGGUGACCAGGGUGCUUAAAUCUGUAGUAGCACCAGUGGUGACCGGUGCAUUGUAUUGGCUCAAGUGGUAGGAUCGUACUACUGCUCAAAUCAAUAGCACCUACAGGUCGGGAACUACCAUCCCCUGCUGCCAUAUCUCAAACCCUUGUCUAGCGGUCCUGCUCAUCCUAUCUACUGGCUACUUUCGUAGCCUUAACAUUCACCUUUUUACUUCUCUUUCUCUUUUUUCUCUUUCUUCUUCUCUCACUAGCAUCGACAUCAGUCAUGAGGGUCAAAUCUCAAACACCCAAAAUAUCCUAUACCUAUUCCUCAUCCUAAAUCUCCUCAAUAAUAGGAACUGAGAAUACCGGCUUAUCAUGUAACUCUUUAACUAAUAUUUUUAGCACGGUUAACUUAGACUCUACAACUGCUAAGUUUGGGGACUGGAUACCCUCAAGAUGUUGAUUAAUCCACUGCUUGAAACCAUCAAACCUUACCUGUAUCACCCUCAUCUUGUCUUUAAUCUUCUUGUCUACCCAUGGUUUUACUCCUCCCUCCAUAAGUUACACCUUUGUAUUCACUACUCAACCUUUUCAUAACUUCAGACAUAAAAGACUACUGUACUAAGACAUGUCCAGCUGGAACUAACCUGGGGGUGGAUAGUCGUGGUACCAUAGUAGGUGGUAGAGUAGGAGUUUUGGAGGUCCCUACUACAUCUGAAUCUUGGAUCCUGGACUAUGUCAUCUCAAUAGGGGUAUCACCCAUGUCGGUGAACCCCAGUGUCUUAGUACUAAGCCCUUUAGUCUGAAAUACCUCAACAAUAAUGUUCCUUCUAUUUUUGCUUGUUUAGAUAUGGUAUUUGCAAUGUCGUGGAUCAACCCUAAAUCUGUGGUGUUCCUCAGUUGGAUGAAAUCAUCAACAUCAGGAGUCUCUAGCACUUUCACAACUAUGCAUAUCUGCAUCAACAAAUAAGGAAAUGCCAGAACUGUGUCAGUUUCUACCACCCGAUCUCGAAUCUCUCUGGCAAUCAACUAGGAUACAUCUAGAUCAUAACCUUCCAUGAUCCCAGCUAUCAAGGACGCCCAGACUGGACUAAGUACAUUAUCUUGAGAUAUGGGACAUAACCUAUGCUGUGAAGGAUUCCACUAUGCCUUUGCCAUGAAAUUUACGGUAUUCUUUUUAAUCUACUAUGAGUUAACUCUUGGUCCACCAGCUACCCAACCAAUCUUCUCUCUAUUGGAAGCAACAAAAUUAUCCAUCCACCAAAAGUGAACCAAUUUUUCCUCAGUGCCGAUUUGUUUUCUCGUUAUCUUUCGAAUCUCAUCCAUGCAAAAAUUAAUCUUGCCAGUAUUUAUUGGUGGCUGGAACUCUAUCCCAUGAAGUAUUCUAGAAAUCAUCCUUGGGUAUAUAUUCACCCGAACUUCUUUAAUCAUCAUAACAUUCAAUGGGUUACCACCCUUUCACAAUUGCCCCUGUGGAUAUAAUUUCUUGAGCUCCAUCUUAUAUAUUGCAUAGAACACAUAUCCCAAUACAGAAUUGAAUGGGCCGGGAGCUAUGGUCAUCCACUCAAAAUGGUAUUGUCUAAAUCGGGCCUUAAAUUUAAGCAUUUUAGAUAUGCCUGAUGUAGUCAACCUUUGUUCUAAAUAGAUCUGUCUUUGUGAAUUUUUAGUGGAAGGGUUAGUGGCAAUACCUUUAUUGUAUACAGUCUCCAUUCUAGGGUACCCCCACAGUUCAAUGAGGGGCACCAAAUUAGGCUCUAUAGAUAGUAGCGUAGGAGGUGGUUAUGGUGGAUAUAUUUCAAUGGAGUAUCACUCUUCUCACUCUCACUCUCUUCUUUAGAUUUGGACCCUUCAUUUCCCUCCGCAACCUCUUCUGGACCAGAUUCCUCAUCGUCAUUAACUUCGCUAUCCUCAUUAGACUAGGACGGUGAUGAGGUGGUGAUUUUCUAGAAUUUUUAAUCCUAGGCCCUGUCCUGGGUGGUGUGACCUCCUUUGAGGUUGCUUUCGUACCCCUAGGUUGCUUUUUUCUUGGCUCUAUAUACCCCCACUAGGUAUUUUUUACUGAGCCGCUUGACGCAUUGUUAAUAUCUUUGUCUCUGAGACAAUGAGUGGUUUGGGGUGUAGGUUUUCAUUACUUGAAGUCUACUUUUUUAUCAAAUUAGAUUUUGUUGCUUUUGAUUUCUAUUGAAACAAACCCAUUAGUGAGCAAUAAGAAAAAGAAAGGAAAACAAUAAAAUUUGGUGUCAGUGUAGUAGGAUGUGGGUACCCUACGACUUAGGAUACAAGUCGUAUCCUCAAGUUACAAGUCAUUAGGAGACUCGUGAGGUGGAAGGAUGCCUAAUUAGUAUUCACUGGUCAGUCAACGAGUCCUCAUAAUGAGUCAUAGUAUUAGACUAUGACUCAUUACCAACACUCGUUAGCUGACUAGAUAUACUUUCCUGAUGCAAUACCUUUCUAGUCAUUACAACUCCUAACUACGAGUCAUAUAGUAUGACUAUGACUCGUUGAAAUGAGUUGUGAUAUUAAUAGAACCCACACUCUUCCAAUAAACCAUAUUACUAGUGGUUACGAGUCACAUAACGACUUGUUAGGUGACCCUACGAUUCGUUAAGUGUCCCGUAGCCAUAAUAACAUGAGUGAUUGGAAUAGUUGGUCCCGAUUCUUAAUCCCAUCACAACAAGAUUCGGUAAAAAAAACAUCAAGUAUCCCCAAUUCAUCUCAUCAACAAAAUCUAGUCUACAUUAGAUGAUUUACUCCCAUUUUCUCUUUAUUUUACAAAUUUCUCAGGAAUAGGGCUCGUCUAUUGAUAUGCACACAUAUUUUGAGAAAGAAAUCCAAUCAACUAUUGUACCUCAAUGCAUCAAUUUAACACUUAUGAAUUUAAACACAAAAUACUUACUUGUUAUUUGCCUUGGAUUCUUUUUUAGCUUAACUUUAAAAAAGUUUGAGCCCUACACCUUGAGAUUGUUUGAUUUUUUGGGGAAGCACGUAUGUAGUUGAUGUUGGGAUGAAUUUAGAGUCUGGUCGAGGUAUGUUGGUAGCUUAGAAAAAUAGAGGGAGUUGUAAUUUUGAAUGAUUGGAAUACCAAUUAUUUGGUCCCUUUGUUUUAUUUUAAUAAAUUAUGCGACUUUGACCGAGUCGACCUGUUAGGCCAGCGAUAUCAGGCCUAGUUAUGAGUCUACUUAAUGACUCAUAACAUAUGAUUACAUGUCGUAGACUCCCUACAUGAGGAAUAGAACCUUACCUAGGUCUCCAGUUAUUACAAAUUCAGGGUGAUGAGUCAUUGUCACUAACUACGACUCAUUCUUAGAGUCAUAAUGACUCCAGAAACCAAAUACCUUAGAGUGGUCUGAGUUCCAGCACCCUAUGACUCUGGUGACGGGCCGUAAAGUCUGAUACGGCUCAAUAAGUGAGUCUUGAUGCCUGGUACCAAAAACAUUUUCUAGGUUUUUUCUGCAAUCUCCAGCCUUGCACACUAAACACAAAAGUUACCCCAUAAUCAAAUAAGUACAAAACAUUGGUUGCCUCACAAACACCGUUUGAUUUAACAUGGUGGAACGACAUGGAUAGUUUUGAUACUCAGACUUCCCACACCAGACCCAUAGUUUAACUCCUACGCAAUUCUGGAUUUAACAUCGUGGCUCGACUCGGUUGCCUUGGUUACUCAAACUUCACCAAGGCUCAAAUCAUCAACCACUUUUACUUUCUCAAUAUUACCUAUAUAGUGCUCGACCUUUGACCAUUCAUUUUGAAAGGAGCUUCACCAUCAUGCUUCAAUUUAAUAGCACCAUAUGGGAACACCCUCUCCACAAUAAACAACCCAUACCACCUAGACUUCAACUUGCCUAGAAACAAGCAAAGUCUCAAAAUAUACAGCAACACCUGAUAACUAGGAUCAAACACUUUUUUCUUAAUUUUUCUAUCAUGAUGUAGCUUCAUCUUCUCCUUGUAUAGAGCAGAACUCUCAUAAUCCCAAAGUUAGAAUUCAUCCAACUCAUGCACCUUGCUCAUCCUCAGUUUUGUUGCAUCAUGCCACUCAAAAUUCAGCUUUUUUAGCACCCAUAGUGCCUUGUGCUUAAGUUCAGUAGGUAAGUGGCACGCCUUUUCAUACACAAGCUGGUACGGAGAGGCAUCUAUAGGUAUCUUAUAAGCUUCCACGUAGGCCUAGAAUGCACCAUCCAAUUUUCUCGACCAAUCAAUCCUAUUGGCAUUCACAGUGUUUGCUAAUAUGGACUUGAUUUCUCUAUUAGAGACCUCAACUUGUCCACUUUUCUGAGGGUAAUAAGGUGUUUCCACCUUAUGCUUUACUCUGUAUUUCUCAAACAGACUUUUGAAUAGAUGAUUAUAGAAAUGCGACCCACCAUCACUAAUUAUUGCAAGUGGAGUGCCAAACUGAUAAAAAAUAUAUUUUUUCAGAAAUGCAAUGACACUUCUACCUUCAUUGUUUGGGAAAGAUACCAUUUUUACCCAUUUUGACAUAUAAUCGACCGCAACCAAAAUAUAUUUCAUAUCUAGGAUCUCACAAACGGAACCAUGAAAUCAGAUCCCUACACAUCAAAUAACUCCAACUCCAGAAUGGGGUCAUAGGGAGUUCAUGCCGUUGUGAAAUAUUACUGACACUAGCAUUGGUCACAGACUAGUUGUAAUACCCCAAUUGUUCCUUGAGUCUAAAUCUAUCUUCUAAGUAUAUGGAAAUGACUUCCAAAGUGAAUGAUGAUAUAACCAUGUAUAAUUUCUCUAAUUUCUAUUUUUUGUCAUGUAGAUCAUUGAAUAAGUUUUCCAUCGAUACCAAUUUCAUCAAAAUCCAACAUUGGACAGGGGAGUCAUGGCCGUUUUACUAAACAAUAUCGGAAUCGCCCAGGCCUGACGGUAGACCUGACGGAUCGUCAAGUGUCCCGUCAAGCCAAGGCAGUGACCCCUCUUUUUGGUCAUCGUGUGACGGACAAAGUGGUGGACCAUUAAAAAAGUUGAUGGACCGUCAAGGGGUCCGUCAGGUCGAGAUAGAAUAUUUCAUUUUUGGCCCCCGAGUGACGGACGAUCUGGUGGAUCGUCAGAUUCCUGAUGGACCGUCACUUUGAUUGUCACUCCGAGGUACAAUAUCCCAUUUUUGGCACUCAAGUGACGGACGACAUGGUGGACCGUUAGUCCCUCUGACGGACCGUCGGGUCAACCAUCACAGGCCCCGAUCAGUGAAUUUCAGCUUUUUUAAAAGGGCAUUUUGGUAUUUUCCACCCAUUUUGGUAUUAUAAAUAUAUCCAAGUAGUAAAGGAAAGAUCAUUUUCUCUUAUUUCUCUCCAAUCUCUCCAAGAAUUCUCUAGAAGCUAGGGUUUUCUUCCAAGACCCAAAAAAAAUCCAAUCUUCUUCCAAGAAAUUCAAGAAUCUCCCAUAGAUUUCUUCGAGUGGUUCAAGAAUCAAGCUUUCCUAGUCAAAGGCAUCAAGAAUCAUAGCCUAAAAAGUGCGAGAAAAAAUUUUCAAUCAAGUCUCUUAUUCUCAAAUUUACAAUUCAAGGUAUGUGGGGUUUGAACAAGAACACUUCUUUCAUUCUUGUGCCCAAAGAUUUAAUUUCUACUAUUGAAAUCCAUGAUUUUGCAAAGUGGGUUUACACCCAAAUUACUUUAUUAAUUAUUUAUUAUAUUUGAGAAAAUCAAGAUUGAUACACAUGACUAUUUCAUCAUUUUAUUCCUUAAAUUGAGAACUUAUACCAUGAGUUGAAUAUUGUUAUUAUGAGUUGAUGAUUUCCGAAUGAUUUGCUAUUGAAUAUAUAUCGAUAUUUGAGAUUGAAAGUCAAGAAUGAGUCCUAUGAUGUUUCCUUUAAGCUUUUGAUAUUUGAAAAUGAUUCGAAAAGCAAAUGUACAUAAUGUUGAGAAAGAUUGUGUUGAGUUGAGUCGAGUUAGGAAUCCAUAAGAUGCUUAUGAUUUAUAGAUGAGAUAUAUAAUUAUGUUUCGGUCUUUAUAAUAGACCCAUGAGUUGAUAUUGAUUAAGCUAGAUUUCCUAACGCAUUCUGAGCUGAGUCUGGGAGGAGUAUUUAGCACCGAGCGGGAAAUGUGAUAUUUCCCCGAAACUAUGUGCCACCGUAGGAUUGAUGUUGAUAAUUGUGGGCCAGAGGCCGAGUGUGGAAUUGUGAUAAUGAGAUUGAGGUUGUACUCCCUGGCAAGAGUACAACACCCCCACUAAUGUGGGGUUCUCUCCUUAGGACGGCAAAACGUUGGACUUCAUACGGCUCACAUGGUGUAGUUAUGUCAGUUAUAAGAAACUCCCAAGUUCAUAAGAGUUCAAGUUUCAUGAGUUAUCGAGUCACUCUAAGUCAUGAUUUAAAGAGUUUGAGUUAAGUAUAAUGAUUUAUGAGAUAUAUAAUGCUUGCAUUACUAAUGAUGAAUUUUAAGAAAUAUAUUUUAAUUAAUUCAGGCAAAGAAAGUCGUUAUCGUCAGCAUGCAUGAUUUUCGUAAUCAUUUAUGAUAUUAUUUAUAAUGUUGCAUUGCACCCCCACAUACUCAAUACAUCCUUUAAAUUACUAACCCCCAUAUAUUUCUAUAUGCUAUAGUGCCUUAUAAUGUAGGUAUAAGUUAUGGAGCAGAUACCACAUUCAGUCAGUUUGCAGCUUCCAAUCAGCAGGUGAUGAGUCCUUUUGAUUCGAGGGCUUAAGUCAUUUAUACAGUUCAAGAAGUAUCGUAUUUUAUUAAUUUAGUCGUAUUGAGAUUGGGUAGUUGGGAGUCAUGACCCAUCUAUCUGAAGUCAGUACCAGUAGAGGCUUCAUAGUCUUUCAGUAGAAGUUGAUGUAUUCAGUGUCAGUUUUAUUUGUAAAAGGAGAGUUGUAACCUUGUAAUGUCCAUAAUUGUAUUGAUCAAGUUCAGAUAAGUUCUAUGUUUUCACUGAUAUCAUGUAGACUUGAGCAUUUUAUUUAGUUGUUUAUGAGUUAUGCCAGUAGAAGGGUUAGCUUAGGGUUACUUAUGCCCCUAAGAACCGUGUGAUGUCUCGGGAUCCAAUUUCAGGGUGUUACAAACUAGGUAUCAGAGCACAGAGUUCAAGUGUCCUAGGGUGUCUAUGAAGCCGUGUCUAGUAAAGUCUCGCGAAAUAGUAUGGAGAUGUCUGUACUUUUCUUCGAGAGGCUACAAGGCAUUUAGGAAAGGUCUCCAUUCUUUCAAGUCUUAGAUCGUGCUAUAGAAAGGUUCGUUGAGAAACUUCUACAGAUUUUUAUCUUACCCUAUUUGGGGCACCCCCGCCUUAUUUUCAAGGUAUUAGAGACAGUCAAACUCAAUUCUUUGUAGAUAGUACUUUCUUAAAUAGUCCCCACAGAUAGUUAUAAAGUUUUAAAUGAGCAAGAAAGUAUCCUAUUAGUGCCUUAUCAUGCUUUUCUUAUAAAUCGUGCAAUAAGCCCAAGUCAGUUGCACUUCCAGAUUUCCUCCUCAGAAUCCAUAUUGAUAGUAUAUACUUCUUUAUGUAUGUACUAUUCCUGAGGUAACAUGAUCAGCGAAUUCCAAUUUUGUCCCUCUGAUAAUGCUUUCAGACUUACUAGUGUGGAGUUUUAGAAGUUUUACAAAUCGACUUGAGUGAAGCCUCUCAGCGUGUUAUAAGUUCCCCAAUCUUAAUGUCAUGUCCUCACCCUUACGAGUCAUUCAGUUAAGACAGAGUGAGAUAUGUAUUCCUAAAUCAUUAAAUAUUGUAUGCCAAGUUUCUACCUUUCAUAAUUUUGUCAUCAUUAUGUUGUUGAAACUAAAAGUCUAGUGAAGUCGUGUGGGGACCUUUCGAUUCACUAGCAUAAUUGCUUUUUUAUUCACCUCAAGCUGGGUGAGGCCUAUUUUGAUUCACUAACGACUCAUUGUGUAUCUUGAUUCCUCGUUCUGGUUGGAACUGGGUUUAGAGGUGUGGUGGCAAGAAAGGUAGUAAGUAUGAUUUAUUGAAAGUAUGUAUAGCUGAGCCUUUUGUGUGUGAUCGAUUUAGUGAUAUGUCCUUUUACAUUAGCUUGUAAAAAUAGGAGAAGGAGUUAUUGGUUAAGGUAAAUAGUAGUUUACUGAAGUACGAAAAGAGUUGUUGAUGGUGUGUUACAUAAGACAAGAAUAGGUUAUGGAUGAAGAUACUUAGUGAAUGAGUGUUGUUAACUAGGGUGCUCCCGGGAUUGCAAGAGGAAGUUAAGUUGAGGCUUAGAGAGCUAUGAACUAAGUUAAACUAGGUACGAAAGAUAGAUAGCAAUGAUGGGUAGAAGAAGGAUAUGUUGAUGGGUUGUAAAUGAGAUAGGCUUUAUGAUUAUGACCAAUUAUUGUUAUGAGGUUUAAGUAGGCUAGAAUUUAUGGAUAUUUUAUUUUAUAGUUUCCAAGUGAAAAUUUUGUGUGUGAGGUGGAGUUGUAAUUUAUGUUGAGUGCUAGGCAUUAAGCUUGGAUGAUUGGUGGCCAUGAAGGUGGAUGUGAUAAUUUCUUGGUUAAUGGUGCUAGUUAUAGAGAAGUGAUCUAAUAGGUUUGAACAGUGUAUACAAGAGCUUGAGUCUAAUCGUCUUGUAAUUAAGUUUGAUAUUGUAUCCAUGAUAAGGAAGUUUACCCAAAAUGCUAUGGGGCUGUACUAUUUUUGAGCAUCAUUGCACGUGGUAUAGAUAGUGGUGUUGUGGAGCUACUAGUGGAGAAAAGACUAGCCAGGUAAUGAAUAAUAUUCUUAAUGGCGGAGUUAAGGGGUGGAAAUAUAAGUCUACAAGCGUGAUAUUAGUAGGUUAUAACGGUAGUAGUAUGAUCCGUCAAAGGUUGGGAAACAUUCAAGUUGAGCGUUAGAAUCUAAGAUUUGAAAUUUCAAAAAUUGAGUUAAUAGGAAUGAGGGUUGAGUGUUAGGUGGUGUAUACUCCGAAUAUGGGGAUGAUCGUGUAGAUCUGAAGUUAGUGAGCGUGCAGGUAUCAUAUGAUGACUACUGGAGGAAUAGGGGGAUAGGAUGUAAUUCAGACGGUGGUGUAAGGAAGUGGUUAUAUAAUUUCAGAUGUAGUCACUCGGAUUAAAUUCUAUUGUUCUUGUGUAUUGAUUAUAUCCCGAACUCUAGAGUAAAAUAAUUUCAGUUUAAUUAGUGCGUAUAUGGUAGUUCACCUAUUCAGAGUGAUGGCUUAAGUCUAAGGGGGAGAUGAUAGGACGAGUAACCAAGUUAAGCUCCCACAUUUUAGGAGAUGUUCCAGUAAGUUGUAAGGUACCCGUGGGAAAGAAUGAUGCUCGACCCAUUCUUAUUUCAGAGCUUUUCAAUUUUUCCAAUAAUUACUCAUGCUUUACAAUUCAGUUCCAUAAUCAUAACUCAUGCAUACCAGAAAUAAUUGUGCCCUCUCUUAGUUCCCAAAAUGCGGAGUUUCAGAUCUUUUAGCAGUUGGAAUUACAUUUCAUAAAUUGCGAGUUCCAGAUUUAGGUCAUGCGGAUCAUGACUCAUGUACUCAAGUCUUGUGGUAUGCUCAGUUCAAGUACUCAAGUAAUGCUUCUAAUGAUCAACAAAAAUUCAGAUUUAUAUCGUGCAUAUCCUCGGGCUAUAUUUCUUUGAUAAGUUUAUGAUGUAAAUCCUCUAUUCUUCAAGCCUUAGUUAAGUGUCAAGUUAUUCAUAGUAUCUAUUCAUGUGUCAAAUCCUCAUGCUCUAAUCUUUUAGUUGCCUUUCCUUAAUUAAUAUAGUAGUGGUGAAUGAUUAUUUAGACGGGAGAGAGAAGAUAUUUCCUUAUCAACAUCAAAGGGUGGCAUGCUUACUUUGGCUAGGCGGUAGGGUGAAGUAAGAUUGAGGAUAAGUCUUUAAUACAUGCCAUGGUUAGUUGAAGUUUGAUGUGUUAUGAUUGGAAAGAUUUUUCUAUGUUAGUUUUGUGUAAUUCCAUGAGUUUGAGGGGAAAAUUAAAGUGAAGCGUUUGUGUGGGACUUGAUUAGUUAGGAGUAUGUCGGGUGUACUUGUUUAAGGUGAGUACAUGAAAGUUGUUCUUGAUAAGGGGUGUGUAGGACAUGAAGAAGAGGCUUUACACUUUAUAAGUGUUUGAUUAGGAAUGCAUAUGUGGUUAUGAAGAUGGGCUUGGGGGUCGAGUUUGUGUACGUGUGGAUGGAUACAUUGCACCUUAGUAAAUGACUAGUACUAGAUGGAUUGGAGUUGUCAAAAAGGUAAUAAGAAUUACUCUUGAAGUGAGAAGUUGUAAAAAUAUAGAUAUGUGGAAGUCAAUGAUUCAGAAUGGUGUCAUGUGGCGGAUUUGGUGGUUCUAGGUUAGGCAUGAAAAUGAUGAGAGGGUUUGGUUUAAGGAGAUGUGAGUAGAUGGAAGCAUCAGUGCCAUGAGAGGAUUAUAAGUCGUAUCGAUUAAGUAUAGUAUCGGAAGGGUAUAGUAUAGUUGAGAGAGCAUUCGAGAAGUAUAAUUAAGUUUGAGAGUAAGAAGUCGCAUCACUUGAGGCCUAGUACUUCUAUCCUAACUUAUGAUUUACAGGUUUAUGAUCCAAGCUAGGGGAUUAUGGCAAUUCUAUGAUCUCUAAUUCAGAUGUCUUGUUUAGAUCUUGCCCGAAUUUUCUUGCUCCUUCAUACCGUUAGAAUUCCUUGGAAGGGGGUUGAAGGAAUCCUCCACUUAAGUAUGAGCAUCUAGUACAAUUCCGUUUGCAUAGCCGGCAACCCAGCUUUUAAAAUUUAGCAGAUAGGUUCUAUGGUCUUCCAUUUUUCAAAACUAGUCUGGUCUUACCACUAGAAGUUUUAUAAGUACGAUCAAUCCGGAAAGUGGUUGCUUGCAUCCAAAAGCUACGAAUUCAGUUCAGUAUAUGUAUCAGGCAUUAGUUUUAGAUCCGGAUAUCUAAUUAUGAUUCAGUCUGUAGGUAUUCAUUGAACGAUCUUUAUUUUUUCCCAAGUAUUCUAACCUAGACAAUGUAAUACCCAUUGUAUAAUUUUAGCCUUGUUCCUUGUGACCUACGCUUGUAUAAAUUAUCAUUUCGUAGUCUAUGAGUACGACGGCACCCUGAUCACAUCAAGUGAAUCCUAAACUCUCAGCAUGAGCCCGCUCUUUAUUAUAAGCAGAAGGCAAACCAGCUCAGACUUAGUUGAGAAUUACAGUUGUCCUUUAUUCUAUUAUUCUCCAAUCUAGGAUCCGAUGAUAUAGCUAUUCUCACCACGAGUUAUACAUUCAGUGAAGUACUCCAAAGCUUAGAAAGAUACAGAUUCAGAUUACAAGUUGUUUCAGCUAUGUAUCUUUAGUUUUCUCUGUGUUCUUGGCAAAACUAGAAACAUUCGAGGACGAAAGUUUCCAAAGGGAGAUAUUGUAAUACCCCGAUUGUUCCUUAAGUCUAAAUCUGUCUUCUAAGUAUAUGGAAAUGACUUCCAAAGUGAAUGAUGAUAGAACCAUGUAGAAUUUCUCUAAUUUCUACAUUUUUUCAUGUAGAGCAUUGAAUAAGAUUUCCAUCGAUACCAAUUUCAUCGAAAUUCGACAUCGGACAGGGGAGUUAUGGCCAUUUUAUUAAACAAUAUCGGAAUCACCCAAGCCUAACGAUGGACCUGAUGGACUGCCAAGUCCUUGGUGGACCGUAAGGUGUCCUAUCAAGCCAAGGCAGUGACCUCUCUUUUUGGUCAUCGUGUGACGGACAAAGUGGUGGACCGUCAAAAAGUUGAUGAACCGCCAAGGGGUCCCUCGAGUUGAGACAGAAUGUUCCAUUUUUUGCCCCCGAGUGAUGGACGAUCUGGUGGACCGUCAGAUUCCUAACAGAUCGUCACUUCGACCGUCACUCCGAGGCAGAAUAUCUCAGUUUUGGCGCUCGAGUGACGGACGACUUGGUGGACCGUCUGUCCCUCUGAUGGACCGUCAAGUCGACCGUCACAAGCCCCGAUCAGCAAAUUUCAGCUUUUUCAAAAUUCAUUUUGGUAUUUUCCACCCAUUUUGGUAUUAUAAAUAUAUCCAAGUAGUAAAGGAAAGAUCAUUUUCUCUUAUUUCUCUCCAAUCUCUCCAAGAAUUCUCUAGAAACUUGGGUUUUCUUCCAAGACCCAAGAAACAAAUUCCAAUCUUCUUCCAAGAAAUUCAAGAAUCUCCCAUAGAUUUAUCCAAGUGGUUCAAGAAUCAAGCUUUCCUAGUCAAAGGCAUCAAGAAUAUUAGCCUAAAAAGUGCGAGAAAAAAGUUUCAAUCAAGUCUCCUACUCUCAAAUUUAUAUUCAAGGUAUGUGGGGUUUGAACAAGAACACUUCUUUCAUUCUUGUGCCCAAAGAUUUAAUUUCUACUAUUAAAAUACAUGAUUUUGCAAAGUGGGUUUACACCCAAAUUACUUUAUUGAUGAUUUAUGAUAUUUGAGCAAAUCAAGAUUGAUACACAUGACUAUUUCAUCAUUUUAUUCCUUAAAUUGAGAACUUAUACCAUAGUUGAAUAUUGUUAUUAUGAGUUGAUGAUUUCCGAAUGAUUUGAGAUAAGAGUCAUGAUUUAAGCUUUUCUACGAGAAUUUUGAUUAUUGAAUAUAUAUAUAUAUAUAUAUAUAUUGAUAUUUGAGAUUGAGAGUCAAGAAUGAGUCCUAUGAUGUUUCCUUGAAGCUUUUGAUAUUUGAAAAUGAUUCGAAAAGCAAAUGUACUUGAUGUUAAGAAAGAUUGUGUUAAGUUGAGUCGAGUUAGGAAUCCACAAGAUGCUUAUGAUUUACAGAUGAGAUAUAUAAUUAUGUUUUGGUCUUUAUAAUAGACCCAUGAGUUGAUAUUGAUUAAGGUGGAUUUCCUAACGCGUUCUGAGCUGAGUCUGGGAGGAGUAUUUAGCACCGAGCGGGAAAUAUGGUAUUUCUUCAAAACUACGUGCCACCGUAGGAUUGAUAUUGAUAAUUGUGGGCCAGAGGCCGAGUAUGAAAUUUUGAUAAUGAGAUUGAGGUUGUACUCCCUGGCAAGAGUACAACACCCCCGCCAAUGUGGGGUUCUCUUUUUAGGAGGGCAAAACAUUAGACUACAUGCAGCUCACAUGGUGUAGUCAUGUCGGUUAUAAGAAACUCCAAAGUCCAUAAGAAUUCAAGUUUCAUGAGUUACUGAGUCACUCUAAGUCAUGAUUUAAAGAGUUUGAGUUGAGUAUAAUGAUUUAUGAGAUAUAUAAUACUUGCAUUACCAAUGAUGAGUUUUAAGGAAUAUAUUUCAAUUAAUUCAAGCAAAGAAAGUCGUUAUUGUCUACAUGCAUGAUUUUCAUAAUCAUUUAUGAUAUUAUUUAUAAUGUUGCAUUGCACCCCCACAUACUCAGUACAUCCUUUAAAGUACUGACCCCCAUAUAUUUCUAUAUGCUACAAUGCCUUAUAAUGUAGGUAUAAGUUAUGGAGCAGAUACCACAUUUAGUCAGUUUACAGCUUCCAGUCAGCAGGUGAUGAGUCCUUUUGAUUCGAGGGCUUGAGUCAGUUAUACAGUUGGAAGAGUAUCGUAUUUUCUUACUUUAGUCGUAUUGAGAUUGGGUAGUUGGGAGUCAUGACCCAUCUAUCUGAAGUCAGUACCAGUAGAGGCUUCAUAGACAGUCAGUAGAAGUUCAUGUAUUUAAUAUCAGCAUUUGUAAAAGUAGAGUUGUAACCUUGUAACGUUCAUAAUUGUAUUGAUCAAGUUCAGAUAAGUUCUAUGUUUUUGCUGAUCUCAUGGACUUGAGCAUUUUAUUCAGUUGCUUAUGAGUUAUGCCAGUAGAAAGGUUAUCUUAGAGUCACUUAUGCCCCUAAGCACCGUGUGACGUCUCGGGAUGUAAUUUCGGGGCAUUAUACUAGUGCAAAGUCAUGAGCAUCAUUAUAGAUUGUAGGCCAGUAAUACUCAUAUUGCAAGAUUUUGUGAGCUGUACGGGUUCUUCCAUGGUUACCCCCAAUAGGUGAACGAUGACAAGCCUAGAAAAUACUCAUCAUCUCCACUUCUAGGAUGCAUCUAUGAAUUAUACCAUCCACACAAAUACUGAAUAAAUAUACCUCAUCCUAGUAAAAUUUCCUUACCUCAUGAAUAAAUCUCUUUCUUUGCUAGAAUGAAAAGUCUUUUGGGAUAAGAUCACUUGCCAAGUAAUUGGCAAAAUCGGCAAACUAGGGAAUUAGGUCUUGCAAUGCUGCCAAAAUUUGUUCAUCUGGAAAAGUAUCAUUCAUUUUAAGACCAUCCCCUAAUUUCUGCAUUACUUCUUCCUCAAGUUUGUACAAGUGAUCUAUAACUUGAUUUUUUGGUCUUUUACCUCAAAAUCAAACUGUAACGCCUUGAUUUUCUUAAUCAAAAUGCUACACGGUGCUUAUGACCCCGAAGGAUCACAAGAAAAACCAUGACUGAUAUUUAUACUUGUACACUGCAAUAUAUAACGUAAUAAUCAGAAAACAUAAACAUGUAGGCCAUAAGGUUCAACUGAAUAAAGAAUCUGUCAAAAUAUAACAUCCAUAUGGGUUAAAGAUACCCCAAACAACUAAAAACAGAAUCAAAUCUGAACAUAAGUCUGAAUACUGAAUUUGAAAGACUCUAAGUACUAUCUGAAUAAGGAGUUGAAGGAACAUGUCACCAACUAACUCCGUAAACUGAUAACGGACAAAAAUAGAAAUGAAUAAAUCAAAUCAUAUUAUCCUCGAAUGAAGAGGACUCACCAAAUCUCUGUGACUGGAAAUGCUACUGCUACUUCUGAUCUGGUGCUCGUGUCUCUGAACCUAUGGUGUAACAUGAAAAGAAAGCACCACAGCGGAAAUGCAUCAGUACAACUAGAGUACUGAGUAUACGAGUGAGGUAGGCUAAUGUAGAGGGUUUACAUACAGGAAUAAUGCUAAUUGACUGACUGAUAUGAACGUAAGAGUACAAAAAUACAUACAUAGUAACUAAGAUCAUGAGUAUAUGAUGGCUAAAUUUGUACGCUAAUACAUGGAUAGAAUCGUAGUUCUAAUAACAUGGAUGACUGUAUCUGAUAGCCCUGAUUCUGGUUGAACUCUCUGAGUUCUGUGCUAUAACUGAAUUUGACUGUAUCUAACAGUCCUGGUAUACUGAUAUCUGACGAACUGUCUGAGUUCUUUUAGUGAGACUGAUACUGAAACUAUGGGAGGUAGUUGUUUAACUGACAUGCCCCAUAUGUGCCAUUAUGGCUAAGAUGGGGUCCAAUCUCUGCCCUGACUGGAAGGGUGUCAAUACUGCGCCACUGGUAAGGACAACAUGUGAGCAACCCUUAUAUAAUAGGUAACUCUAGUGAGAACGGUGGGAACCCUCAUAUAACAGGUUAAUCCACCUCAUCUACCCUCAUAUAACAGGCUGCGAUGUCUCAACAUAUACUGGCUACAUAGUUCUGGAAUGCAAGGAUGACUGCUAAGAAUCACACCCUCAUAUAUAGGGGAGUUUCCAUCCUUGGGUUAACUCGGUGCUAACUCCUACUCCUAUUUGAAGAGACUGAACAUGAUUUAACUGACUGUAUGUAAUUGGAACUUACUAAAUUUCAUUGACGGACGGAAUACUACUGAUAUCUGAUAACUGAUUGAGACCAUGAGGUUUUAUGAGUCACAUGACUGACUGAAUUCUACUGAAUCAUGGCUUGAUUUUGUAUAUCGUGAAACAUGACAUGGCUCUAGGCACACAGCUAUAGUUUUCGGGCACGAAUACCCCCAGGACUCAAUGAAAGGAAACUGACACAACAUGUCUGACUUGAUCAUAAGAUUGGAGUCCACAAUUCACAUUAUCAUAAGUAGGGGAUAUCAUAUUUCAUAUAGUUAUUCAACAUCUUAAACAUUAUAGGGAAUGUAUGUAUAUAUAUCGUGUACAUAUUGUAUAUCUCCAUUAUCUUCCAUGCUUUAUACCACCACAAUAGCAACAUAUGAAAAGCAUGGAAUUCAUAUUAAAGUAUAUAGCUCACAUGGACUUGUCAUUUAGACAUCAUAGAACCAUACAAACAUGAAUUUCUAGCAUCCUAAGCAUUUUAUCAAACACCUUGCAUGCGUUAUUUAAAGCAUAGGUGGGUUUCAUACUUGCACCAUAUUAAACCACCUAAAUUUCAUGAUUUUCAAUUAACAAACAUAUAUAUUCCAUGAGAACACCUUUAGACAUCACAUUGAAACUUAAACAAAAAUCGUCAACAUGUAAAUACUCAUAUCACCACAAAAAGUUUACAAAAUAAUAUUUAAAACAUGGUUCUUGAUAUCUAUGAACGGAUUGAAUCCAUAGAUGAACACUACGCAUACCUUAGUGAUUGAAUCUUGAAAGAGAUAUAAUGUUUCUGAAGGUUCUUGAAGAAUUCCUUAGGCUUGCUCUUGAGGAGAUGAUCUUGAGAGAAAACCCUAAUCUUGUGGUUGAGAGUAUAAGAGAGGGUUUUUAAGAUGCUUAACUUAAGAAAAAUUAUACCUCUUUAGAGUUAUAAGUCAUGGAAGGUGAAAGAAAAGACCAAAAUACCCUUAUGAAAUAAAUUCCCAUUUGCUGAAAAUCAUAGCUGACGACAUUUGUGACAAGCCGUCAAAAAUGUGUUAAUCCGUCAAAAAUGUCAUCACACAGGAGCUAGAAUUGAUGGUUUCUGCCUAAGUCUGACGACAUUUGUGACAAGGCGUCACAAAUGUGGUAAGCUACCACGAAUGUCGUCACUUAGGAAAUGGUUUCUACCUAAGGCUGACGACAUUUGUGACAAGGAGUCACAAAUGUGGUAAGCUACCAUGAAUGUCGUCACACUGUUUCCAGCCUGACAUGCUGGAGUAAAAUAGGAAUAACUCUUUGCUCCGAUAUCGAAUUUAGAUAAAAUUGGUGUCGUUAGAAAGAUAAUUUAAUUAUAUAUAUUUUGAUAGGUCAUGAGCUCAAAAAUUCUAAGUAUAAUGAGAUAUAUUCUCAUUUGAAUCUAACUAUGGAAAUAUCUUUCUCAAGAAUUUGAUCGGUGAGGAAUGUUUUGAUUCGUCUGAUAGCUAGGCGUUAUUUAAAGCCUUAAUAUACAUCUAACCUACUUAUAAAACUAUAAAAUAACCAUGAUGUACUAUGCAUGAGCUUCGUACAUGGCUCUGAUAUUGGUUUGGAUUUUUUUCGGGGUAUUACAAUAUCUCUUCCUUAGAAACAUUCGUCCUUGAAUGAUGACUGCUUGAGAGGGGAUAAAAGAUAAAACGACGCAUGCACUGAUCAUGCACAACUGGCAUAUGAUUUUAGGACUGAAUGGAAUUCUAAGUUGAAUAUAGUCCAACUGAACAUGCAUAUCUAAUGCAUGACUAAUAAGCUAAACUCAUGAAUGCAUGAUAAGUUAUGCACUGAUAAUUCAUACCAAUUUUAUACUAGAAUUUUGAACAUGUAACUGAAUAAGCUUAAGGAAAAUGGUUACCUCAAGCUAAGUCUGAAUUAGUAGAGAAAAGAUGAGGGUACUUGGUUCGCAUGUUUGCUUCUGCUUCCCAAGUGGUUCCCUCUAUGGACUGAUUUCGCCAAAGAACCUUGACUAGAGGGACUUAUUUGAUCCUCAGCCUACGAUUCUGAUAGUCGAAGAUUUCGACUAGAAUCACUUCAUAAGAGAGGCUAUUCUGAAUAACAAUGCUCUGAAUAGGGACUACAACUUCUGGGUCACCUAUGCACUUCUUGAGCAAAGAGACAUGGAAUACUGGAUGAACUGAGGCUAGAUCUGAAGGCAAUUUGAGCUCAUAGGCUACCUUGCCGAAGCGACUGAGAAUCCAGAAGGGACCGAUAUAUCGGGUACUAAGCUUUUCCUUCUUAUUGAAUCUCUUCGCUCCCUUCAUGGGAGAGAUCUUGAGAUAGACAUAGUCAUCGACCUCGAAUUCUAGAUCCUUUCUAUGAAUAUCUGUAUAAGACUUCUGUUGGCUCUGAGCAGCCUGGAGUCUUUCUCUGAUCAACUGAACUUUCUCUAAGGCAUCGAAUACUAAGUUAGGCUCUAUGACUGCUGUCUUACUAACUUCGAACCAACUGAUUGGAGACCUACAUCUCCUACCAUAGAGAGCUUCGAAUGGAGCCAUCUAAAUACUGGAGUGAUAGUUGUUGUUGUAUGAGAACUCAAUCAAAGGCAAGUGGUCAUCCCACCUUCCCUUGAAAUUAAUUGCACACGCCCUUAGCAUAUCUUCUAGAGUCUGAAUGGUCCUUUCUGCUUGACCAUCUCUCUGAGGAUGAAAUGAUAUACUGAGAUAAACUUAGGUACCAAGACCCUUUUGGAACUCUUUCCAGAAGUGAAAAGUAUCCUGGGUACCUCUGUCUGAGAUAAUAGAUAGUGGAACACUGUGUAAUCUGACCAACUCCCUGACAUAGAGUUUGGCAUAAUCCUCGACUGAGUAAGAGGUACGAACUGGAAGAAAAUGAGCUGACUUGGUCAUUCUAUCUACAAUGACCUAAACUAAAUCAUACUGAUGACGUGUUCUAGGCAAACCCAUUAUGAAGUCCAUGUUCACUUCUUCCUACUUCUAAGUAGGAAUAGUGAAAUCCUGCAUGAAACCACUAGGUUUCAAAUGCUCUAUCUUAACCUGCUGAUAUGUAGAGCACUUAGCCACAAACUCUGAAACGUCCCUCUUUAUCUCACUUCACCAAUAGAUCUCCUACAAGUUGCGGCACAUAUUAGUGGCCCCUGGAUAAAUAGAGUAUCGCGCACCAUGUGCUUCUACAAGAAUUCUCUACCUCAAGUCAUCUACACCGAUAAUACACAGAUGACCCUAACAACAAAGAACACCAUCUCCAUUUUGGGAGAAAACCUCUACUUUCUGACUCUGAACUGACUAUUUUAGCUUGACAAGGGUGGGAUCCCUGUCUUGCUUCUCUUUUACCUCAGAAACUAGAGAUGACUCUGAACUACUCUGAACACAUACACCACCCUCUGAAGAGUUGACUAAGUGAAUGCCUAGUCUGGCAAGCUGAUGAAUCUCCAGAGCUAAUUUCUUCUUACUAUCCUCAACAUGGGAAACACUACCCAUGGACAGUCUACUGAGCGUGUCGGCCACUAUAUUGGCCUUGCCAGGAUGAUAAAGGACACUCAUGUUAUAAUCCUUCAAAACCUCUAACCACCUUCUCUGACGAAGAUUGAGAUCUUUCUGGGAAAAGACAUACUGAAGACUCUUAUGAUCUAUGAAGAUGUCUAUAUGAACAUCGAAUAGAUAAUGCCUCCAUAUCUUUAAGGCAAAGACAACUACUGCUAACUCAAGGUCAUGAGUAGGAUAACUCUUCUCAUGGGGUUUUAACUGUCUGGAGACGUAGGCUAUGACUCUACCAUGAUUCAUGAGAAAACAACCUAAACCUACUCUGCAUGUAUCACAAUAUACUCUGAAUCCAUCUAAACGAUCCGGAAGAGCUAGAAUUAGAGCGGUAGUGAGUCGAGUCUUCAACUCCUGAAAACUCUUCUCGCAAGGUUCUGACCACUGAAACUUAACCUUCUUCUAAGUCAAUCUAGACAUAAGAGAUGAAAUAGAAAAAAAUCCCUUGACAAACCAUCUGUAAUAGCCAGCCAAACCCAAGAAACUCCUGAUAUCUGUUGGAGAUAUGGGUCUGGGCAAGUUUCUUACCGCUUUAAUUUUCUAAGGAUCUACUCUAAUGCCAUCAUCGAAAAUAAUGUGGCCAAGGAAUGCUAUUGAUCUUAGCCAAAUUUUGCACUUACUAAACUUGGCGAACAACUGGUGAUCCCUGAGAGUCUGAAAAACAAUUAUGAGAUUGUCUGAAUGAUCACGCUCUGUACUAGAAUAGACCAGAAUAUCAUCCAUGAAUACUAUGAUGAAUGUGUCCAAGUACUGCUUGAAAACUCGGUUCAUCAAGUCCAUAAAAGCUACAGGGGCAUUGGUAAGACCAAAGGAUAUGACUAGAAAUUCAAAGUGACCAUACCGAGUACGAAAAGAUGUCUUCGGAAUGUCACAUUCUCUAACUCUGAGCUGAUGAUAGCCUGAUCUGAGGUCUAUCUUGGAGAAAUAACUGGCACCCUGAAGUUGGUCAAACAAGUCAUCUAUCCUAGGUAGCGGAUACCUAUUCUUGACCGUGACUUUGUUUAGCUGAUGGUCAUCAAUACACAUUCUGAGAGGAUCAUCUUUCUUAUGCAUGAAUAAGACUGGCGCACCCCAUGGGGAUAUACUGGGACUAAUGAAUCCCUUAUCUAAGUAAUCCUUCAGCUGAUCUUUCAGUUCCUUGAGUUCUAUUGGUGCCAUUUUGUAUGGCAAAAUAAAAAUAGGCUAAGUAUCUGGGAGAAGGUCUAGGCCAAAGUCUAUUUCCCUUUCGGGAGGAAUGCUAGAAAGAUCUUUGGGAAAGACAUCUGAAUAUUCAUUAACCACUAGGACUGAUUCGAGACUGGGAGAUUCAGAACUGGAAUCCUUAACAUGCAUGAGAUGAUACACACACCCCUUAGAAAUUAUUUUCCUUGCUCGAAGGUAGGAAACAACCUGACCCCUGAAAGACGAUGUGCUACCCUUCCACUCUAGGACGGGCUUAUUCGGGAACUAAAACUGAACUAUCCUAUUUCUGCAGUCGACUAUGGCAUAGAAGAAAUGAUCCAAUCCAUGCCGAGAAUGACAUCAAAAUCAGUCAUCUCGAACUCGACUAAAUCUGCUGAUGUGGAUUUCUAAAAUAUUAUAACUGGAUAGUUCUUGUAUACCCACCGAGCUAUGAUGGUUUUACCCAUUGGGGUAGAGACUGAAAAGGGCUCUGCUGAAAUUUUGGGACUGAUUCCAAAAUCGCCUGCUAUGUAUAGAGUGACAAAAGACAAGGAUGCACCUGGGUCUAGCAAAGCUUAAACAUGAACAUAGAUUGUCUAAAACGUACCAAUAACGAUAUCAAAAGAAUUUUCCUAAUCCUGUCGGGUCUGAAGAGCAUAGAGUCUAUUUGGGAGUUGCCCACUAGUAACACUAGAAGUGGCACCCUACUGGUUCGAUUCUGCUGACCCUGAGGACCUGGCUGAGGACAGUCCCUAAAUUUAUGCCCUGGCUUGCCACAACCAAAACAAAUGCCUUGACCUGCUCUACACACACCCUGAUGGUUCUUACCGAAGGUUUGACACUGUGGAUAAGUGCGGGCACUGCUAACACUGCUCUGAGAUGUAGAGCCUGGUGCUCUAUCUCUGUUUUCAUCCCUGAACUUCGGCACUGGGACACUAGCAGAGGAAGGGGCUGGAACUGCUAACUUAGUACGAAACUGUGAAUGAUUUCCUCCCUCUUAUUUGGGCUGAGCAAAAAUCAAACUACCUGAUUUUGCUCUCUUAUUCUACCUCUCUCUAGUCCUAAACUUUUGCUCCUUUAUCUGCUGAGCAUAGGCCAUGAGUCUAGCUAAGGUUAUAUCACUGUUCAUCAUCGCAGAUCUACACUCAUUCAGCACGCUAUCAUUUACCCGUGACAUGAAUUUGCUUAUUUUAUCCCUAUUGUCUGCAACCACAUGAGGGGCAUACCUGGCUAGCUGAUUAAAUCUAAGAGAAUACUCUUUAACUUUCAUAUUUCCCUGCUUGAAAUUGAUGAACUCAAGAAAUUUGGCCUCUCUCAGCUCUUGGGGAAAGAAUCUUUCUAAGAAAGCCGUGACAAAUUCUUCCCACACAACAUGACCUGCAUCCUCUAACCUUUCUGCUAACCAUUGCUUGUACCAAGUGUGAGCGACAUCCUACAAUUGGUAUGCGGAUAACUCGGCACUCUGAGAAAAAGUGACUCCUAUUAUAUCAAUGACCUUCUGGACUUGGUCAACGAAUUCCUGAGGAUCUUCGUCUGGCUUAGACCUAAAGAAGGACAGAGGGUUCAUUCGGGUGAAGUCCCGAAUCCUAGCUGCCGCUAAAUUGGCCACUGGGUUGGACGAAAUGACUGCUGGUCAUUUAUUCUGGGUAGCUACAGACUGAUCAAGAGCGGUAAAUGUGGUCCUGAACUUUUCAUGAGAAAUAUGAUCGCCCAAAGGAUCUUCAGGCUGAUGAGCUGGCUGAUUUCUUCUCUUUGGAGGCAUGUUUCUGAAAUAAGAGAAGAGCAAAUUAGACUAAGAGACUGACUUGAAAUUAUGCUUACUAGCAUGACAUGAAUACUGAAGAAAGGGAACUGUUCCUAAAACAUCUCAUAGCCUCCUGUACAUAAAUGUGGCGCGUAACACACCCAUGUACAAGACUCUACUAGAUGCGGUUUUCAGAAUUCCUAGGACUCUAUUGAACCUUACGCUCUGAUACCAAGUUUAUAACGCCCUGAUUUUCUGAACCGGAAUGCUCACAGUGCUUAUGACCCCGAAGGAUCACAAGCUAACCCAUGACUGAUAUCUGUACCUGUACACUACAAUAUAUAACGUAAUAAUGCGGAAAACAUGAACAUGUAGGCCAUAAGGUUCAACUGAAUAAAAAAUCUGUCAAAACAUAACAUCCAUAUAGGUGAAAGAUACCCAAAACAACUGAAAACUAAAUCAAAUCUGAACAUAAGUCUGAAUACUGAAUCUAAAACCCUCUAAGUACUUUCUGAAUAAGGAGUUGAAGGAAUAUGUCUCCAACUAACUCCGUAAAUUGAUAACAAACUAAAAUAAUAAUGAAUAAAUCAAAUCAUCUUAUCCUCGAACGAAGAGGACUCACCGAAUCUCUGCGACUGGAAAUACUACUGCUACUGCUAAUCUAGAGCUCGUGUCUCUGAACCUAUGGUGUAACAUGAAAAGAAAGCACCAUAGCGCAAAUACGUCAGUACAACUGGAGUACUAAGUACACGAGUGAGGUAGGCUAAUGCAGAGGGUUUACAUACAGAAAUAAUGCUAAUUGACUAACUGAUAUGAAUGUAAGAGUACAAACAUACACACAUAGUAACUAAGAUCGUAAGUACAUGAUGGCUAAAUAUGUACGCUAAUACAUGGCUAGAACCGUAGUUCUGAUAAAAUGGAUGACUGUAUCUGACAGCCCUAAAUCUGGUUGAACUCUCUGAGUUUCGUGCUAUAACUGAAUUUGACCAUGUCUAAUAGUCCUGGUAUACUGAUAUCUGAAGAACUAUCUGAGUUCUUUUAGUGAGACUGAUACUGAAACUGUAGGAGGUAGUUGUUUAACUGACAUACCCUAUAUAUGUCAUUAUGGCUAAGAUGGGGUCCAAUCUCUGCCCCGACUGGAAGGGUGUUAAUACCGCACCACUGGUAAGGAACACAUGUGAGCAACCCUCAUAUAACAGGUAACUCUAGUGAGAACGGCGGGAACCCUCAUAUAACAGGUUAAUCCACCUCAUCUACCCUCAUAUAACAGACUGUGAUGUCUCAACCUAUGCUGGCUACAUAGUUCUGGAAUGCAAGGAUGACUGCUAAGAAUCACACCCUCAUAUACAGGGGAGUUCCCAUCCUUGGGUUCACUUAGUGCUAACUCCUACUCCCAUUUGAAGAGACUGAACAUGAUUUAAUUGACUGUACGUAAGUGGAACUUACUGAAUUUCAUUGACUGGCAGAAUACUAUUGAUAUCUGAUAACUGAUUGAGACCAUGAGGUUUCCUGAGUCACAUAACUGAUUGAAUUCUACUGAAUCAUGGCUUGAUUUUGUAUAUCAUGAAACAUGACAUAGCUCUAGGUACACAGCUAUAGUUUUCGGGUACGAAUACCCCCAGGACUCGAUAAAAGGAAACUGACACAACAUGACUGACUUGAUCAUAAAAUUGGAGUCCACAAUUCACAUUAUCAUAAGUAGGGGAUAUCAUAUUUCAUAUAGUUAUUCAACAUCUUAAACAUUGUAGGGAAUGCAUGUAUAUAUAUCGUGUACGUAUUGUAUAUCUCCAUUAUCUUGCAUGCUUCAUACCACCACAAUAGCAACACAUGAAAAGCAUGGAAUUCAUAUUGAAGUAUAUAGCUAACAUGGACUUGUCAUUUAGACAUCAUAGAACCAUACAAACAUGAAUUUCUAGCAUCCUAAGCAUUUUAUCAAACACCUUGCAUGCAUUCUUGAAGGCAUAGGUGAGUUUCAUACUUGCACCAUCUGAAACCACCUAAAGUUCAUUGUUUUCAAUUAAGUAACAUAUCUAUUCCAUGAAAACACCUUUAGACAUUGCAUUGAAACUUAAACAACAAUCGUCAACAUGUACAUACUCAUAUCACCACAAAAAGUUUAUAAAAUAAUAUUUAAAACGUGGUUAUUGUGCUCUAUGAACGGAUUGGAUCCAUAGAUGAACACUACGCAUACCUUAGUGAUUGUAUCUUGAAAGAGAUCUAAUGUUUCUGAAGGUUCUUGAAGAAUUCCUUAGGCAUGCUCUUGAGGAGAUGAUCUUGAGAAAAAACCCUAAUCUUGUGGUUGAGAGUGUAAGAGAGGGUUUUUAAGAUGCUUAACUUAAGAAAAAAUGGGAAAAAUUAUGACUCUUUAGAGUUAUAAGUCGUGGAAGGUGAAGGAAAAUACCAAAAUACCCUUAUGAAAUAAAUUUCCAGUUGCUGAAAAUCAUAGCGCUGACGACAUUUGUGACAAGGCGUCAAAAAUAUGGUAAGCCAUCAAAAAUGUCAUCACACAGGAGCUGGAAUUGAUGGUUUCUGCCUAAGUCUGACGACAUUUGUGACAAAGCAUCACAAUUGUGGUAAGCUACCCCGAAUGUCGUCACUUAGGAGCUAGUUUCUGCCUAAGGCUGAUGACAUUUGUGACAAGGUGUCACAAAUGUGGUAAGCUACCACGAAUGUCGUCACACUGUUUCCAGCUUGACAUGCUAGAAUAAAUUAGGAAUAACUCUUUGCUACGAUAUCAAAUUUAGGUAAAAUCGGUAUCGUUGGAAAGCUAAUUCAAUUAUAUAUAUUUUGAUAGGUUAUGAGCUUAAAAAUUCCAAGUAUAAUGAGAGAUAUGCUCAUUUGAAUCUUACUAUGGCAAUAUCUUUCUCAAGAAUUCGAUCGAUGAGGAAUAUUUUGAUUCAUCUGAUAGGUGGGAGUUAUUUGAAGCCUUAAUAUACAUAUAACCUACUCAUAAAACUAUAAAAGAACCAUGAUGUACUAUGCAUGAGCUUGGUAUAUGGCUCUAAUAUUGGUUUAGUUUUUUUUUGGGGUAUUACACAAACUCUUGCAACAAGAGAACCCAGCGAAUCAAUCUUAGGUUUGUAUCUUUCUUUGACAUUAGGUAUCUCAAGGUUGUAUGAUCUGUAUGAACGAUGACCUUAGUCCCAAUCACGUAAGACCAGAAUUUUUUAAAGGCAAAAACAAUUGCUAGCAAUUCAUGCUCGGUAGCAGUAUAGUUCUUUUGAGCAGGGCUUAAUGCCUUAAUGGCGUAGUAAAUUGGGUGAGGUAUAUUUUCUUACCUUUGGUCUAGGAUAACACCUAAAGCAACAUCGCUUACAUAACACAUGAUCUCAAAUGGUAAGGACCAGUUAGGGGACACUAUAAUAGAGGCUGGUACCAACCGCUUCUUCAGGCAUGCAAAAGAUUUUAAACAUGCCUCAUCAAAAUCAAACUUCAUCUCUUUCUAAAGAAGCUUGCAUAAAGGGUUUGCAAUCUUAGGGAAAUCCUUGAUGAAAUGUUUAUAAAAGCUAGCAUGGCCCAAAAAACUCUGAAUACCCUUCAUUGAAACUGUGGAAGCUUCUCAAUUACUUUAAGUUUUUCCUUAUCUACCUCUAUUCCCUUUUUCAAGAUCUUGUGGCCAAGCACAAUUCCUUCUUUCACCAUGAAAUGGUAUUUCUCCCAAUUUAGCACUAAAUUACAUUCCUCACAUCUAUGAAGAGCAUUGUCCAAAUGGAAUAAACAGUUAUCAAAAGUAUCACCAAGAACAGAAAAAUCAUCCAUAAAUACCUCAAUAAUGUAUUCCACCAUAUUAGAGAAUAUCGAUAUCAUACAUAUCUAAAAGAUGGUGGGAGCGUUGCACAAUCCAAAUGGCAUUCUCUUUAAAGAAAAGUCCAAUAAGGGCAGGUAAUGGUCAUUUUUUCUUGGUCUUUAGGUGCAAUAGUGAUCUGAUUAUAACCCAAAUGCCCAUCAAGAAAACAAUACCAACCCCUACCUGCUAACUUGUCUAGCAUCUAAUCUAUAACGGCAUAGAAAAAUGGUCCUUCUGAGUCCAUAUAUUUAGAUUUUGGUAGUCCAUACAUACUCUCCAACCUGUGACUGGUCUCAUUGGCAUAACCUCAGUUUUCUCAUUUGGCACUACAAUAAUUCUUCUUUUCUUAGGGAUGCAUUGAACAGGACUGACCCACUUGCUAUCUGCAAUUAGGUAAACUACACCAGUAUCUAACCACUUGAUAAUUUAUUUCUUUACCACCUCCUGCAUGGGAGUAUUUAUCCGACGCUAAUGCUAAAUACUAGAAAUGCAGUCUGAUUCAAGCUGUAUUUUAUGAGUAUAAAUUCCAGGUGAGAUACCCACAAUAUCUGCAAUGAUUCACCCUAUAGCUUUUUUAAACCUCUAAAACAAUGAUAACAAUUCCUCCACCUUAGCCUCAAUCAGGACAACAACAAUAAUUACUAGAAAGGUGUUGUUGGCCCCUAAAAAUACAUAGAGAAAGUGAGAUGGGAGGGCCUUCAACUUGAAGACUAGUGGCUCCUCAAUAGACGAUCGAGCAGUAUAAUUGGUUUUAUUUUUAAGAUUGAGAUUAAGCUUCUUUGGAGAAUAGUUAUAAGAACCUCUCCCGUACAAAGCUCUCGCUAGCUUGUCAUAUUUCCUAAUUACAUCACUAUCAAACUUAAUAAUCAUUGAUGAUAAUGCUUUAAAACCCAACCUCUCCGUAAUUGGAAUAUACUGCAUCAACCUCAUCAUCAAUGGUGUCUAUCACAAACACUACCUGUAUAUCAGCAAGAUACUUCAUUGAAUGGCCUACAUUGAAAAUCACUUGCUCAACAUUGAGUCUAAACCUCAUCUGUCCUAAUUCCAUAUCAACUAAUGCCCUACCCAUAGAAAAAGAGGGUCUACCCAAGAUGAUAGGGACUUGGAAGUUUACUUCACAAUUAAGAAUAAUGAAAUCGUCUAGAAAUAUGAAGGACACCACCUUCACCAACACAUCACAAUGAAUACCCACUGAUCGCUUCAUCAUUCCAUCAUCCAUCAACAAUCUCAUAGAUGUAGGCUUGGGUGCCCCCAAUCCCAACUAUAUAUAAACCACCAACGACAUCAGAUUAAUAUUUGCUCCUAGAUCAAAUAAAGUCUGAGUGAAGUUGAAUGACCUAAUAGUGCAUGGGAUGGUAAAGCUCUGGGAUCCUUCUUCUCUACCAAUAAUCUGGAAGCUACAACACUGCAGUGGUGUAUAUUAUCAGUGGUCUUAUAACUCACCAUCUUCUUCUUAGUGACCAAAUUUUUUAUGAAUUUUGCAUAUCCAAACAUCUGCUCCAGUGUCUCUACCAGGGGAAUAUUGAUAGACAGUUUCUUUAACAUUGAUAAAAACUUAUGAUAUUUACCUUAUUCUUGCUUUUUUCAACCUUUGAGGAAAAGGUAGGAGAGGUCUCUGAAUAGUCUUCAAUACCGGCUCAACAACCUUCCCUUUUUCUUUAUCCUUAUUACCAGUAUGCUUAACACAUGUCUAUUUUUAAGAUAUUGCUAUAGGUGUCUCAUCACCAUUGAUCUCAUCACCAUUAUUCUUUAGCUUUUCCACGACAAGCAUAGGAGGAACUAUAGUGGUUUAACCACUCUAAGUGGUAAUGGUAUAACAAUGACUAUUAUUUUUCAAAUGUUGCACUAUAUUAUUGGGAAGAGUGCCAGGCUGUCUCUAAUUCAAAGUGGCCGACAUUUGGCCAAAUUAUUUCUUUAGUUGUCUUAUCACGGUGGUAUGCGACUCAACUUUUUGAUUCAACUCUGAUAUGUCCGAUUUUAUUUCCUUAAGGCAGCUUUCCUGACUCUCUUGGCCUUUUACUAACUUGGAUAACAUUGCUCUCAUUCUUAACAUGAUAUCACAAUAGCUAGUUGUAACAUAUCUCUCACUCUUCUCUUUAUAGUCAUCUUUAUGCCUCCAAUCACCAUCUUGCUCUCUGCUUCUAUCUUGGUAUCUGUCACCAUUAUAGUUCUGACCUUAGUUUUCUUGACCCUUGGCUUAAAAACCCAUUAUUUCUCAAUCUAGAUACUUUGCCUCCUCAUCCACAUCAGACUCAUAAGCCCUUGAAGCAGACCCAUGUGCCCCUACUAUAUUCACUUUUUCAAAAUUCAUCACUGCAAAUUACUUCAUAAGUAACCCAAUAUUCGUUAUGAGUUGUGCAACUUCUUGCUCUACUGAAUUUUCACCAACUCUGUAGUCACUAGCAGCCAUAAUACAAUAUGUACUAGAACCUCUAUUAGCCUACCGAGUGUGCCAUCCUCAAUUAGUGACAAAGAUCUCAUCAAGCAUUUCCUAUGCUUUAUCCCAACGAAGAUGCAUAAGUCCACCUAUAGAUGUUACGUCUAUCAUCACCCUAGAACUUAUAUUCAUGGAUCUAUAGAAUAUCUCUAGCGAAUUAGACCCUGGAAUCUGGUGAUUAGGUACCAUGCUUAAAUUUUUUUUGAAUCAAAACCAUGCUUCAUACAUGGACUUUGCAGGCAACUGCCGAAAGUUGUAAAUCUCAUCUUUUAAUUGUAGCAUCCUAGAAGGAGGAAAGAAUUGAUUCAAAAACUAUCUACACAACUCAUUAUAAGUAGUAAUUGAGCUCUAAGAAGUUCCCCCAACCACAAUGAUACUUCUUCUGUCAACGAGAAUGGGAAUAACAUCAAUCUCAAUGCUUUCUGAUCCACCCUUGGGAAUGUAUAUGAAGUGGAGAUCCAAGUAAAAUUAUCAAGAUACAUGCUCGCGUCAUCUAUCAACAACCUUGAAAACAUACUUUUUAGAUUCAAUAUCUAGAUCAUUACACUAGUAAAAUCAAACUUAACAUUUAGGGGUAAAGCAGGAGGAAUAAUGUCCCCUGUAUCAGCAGGCUCAUUAUAUCCCAUGUCCUCAUCUUUAUCAUAUAGUGGUAGAACUGAUAAGAUGGCAUCACUCGAGAUCUACCACCAUGUGCUCUAUCACGAUCACCAUUGAGUGUUGCUUGACGAUCAACUACUAGUUAUAGCCUGGUAAGCUCUACUGCUAAGGUAUCUGGGUUUCUUCAGCUGCUCUUCUCUGUUGUUCAGCUGCCUCUGCUAACAUCAACUUCAUCUAUCUAUUAAUAAUAUUCUGCAAAUAACCUAGAGCAGGGGAAAGUACAAUGAGAGAGUCAUCCCGAAUGCCUUCUAAAUUGCCUACCCAUACUUGCUUACUCAUCAUAUGAUUAGGCUAUAGUAGUCUUUCUAGUUUAGGAUUCAAUGGGAGCAAGGAAUUUCUUCGACUCCUAGUGUUAGGCAAACACCGGUGUAGACCCAACUAAGAAUAGAAAAUAAAAGACCCAAAACUUUAACAAAUUCAAUCAACAACUCAAUACUGUAUUCCCCAGCAACGGGGCCAAAAUUUGAUGUCGCCCAAAACUAACCUCUAAAAAAGUAUGCUGCGGUUGAUGUAAAAUAUAGUAACACAUACCACGUUUGGGUCGAACCCACAAGAAAUACGUGAAAUUAUAUCUAGAACUUAAUGAAAUUACAGGAAGUACAGAAAAGUAAAUGGAGAGAUUUACAAGUUACAGUAACACGUAAUUGAUAUUGAGUACGUGAGGUUGUAAAUAAUAGAAGUUGAACACUAGACAUGUGUUCCCCUGUCUUCUAACUCUGAAAGAUUCUCAUCUUUGAUUCACCUAUCCCACUGUUCUGCAUGCAAAGUAGGAGUGAGUAUGGUCCACUUGUACUUAGUAGGUAUCAUACGCCAAUCGAGCAAAGUAGAAAAUAAAGUAUACAAAAACAUACUAAGGACACGCCCUUUAUAAUCAAAAAAUAUCCCACAAUGGUAGCCCACACCACUUGUAUUAACAGUUCUAAUAUAUAUAUAUAUAUAUAUAUAUAUAUAUAUAUAUACAAGUAACAUAAGUAUACAAUAUGUCACAUGCGGGUACAAACAGAGAAGAACAUAUAUAUACAAGGUGGUCAAGUAUAAAUAACAGGACAUAUAGCAAGUAGACAUAUAACAAUUCAAUAUGAAAAUUCAACCACUACAUCAACUCAACAAAGUAAGUACAAUGUAUAAGAUAAUGAUGUCAAUGAUGAUGAUGAUGAUGAUGUUGGCUACACCCUUAAGAUUGGCACACAACCUUAAAAAUAUGUACACAACCUUAAAAAGGGGCACACAGCAUUAAAAAUUGGCACACAACCUUAAAUUGGCACACGGGCUUCUAGUAUUUCCAGUAUUUUCAAUGUUUGUCAGUUUUUCCAAUGUUGUCAGUGUUUUUAAACCAUAUAUAUAACAUAAGACACAAAUAAAGUACACAUACAUGACAAAAAGUGUAUAUAAAUAAGUAAAACAAACAAGUGAGACGAUGCCUAUGAUGAUAUAAGAAUGAAAAUGCAAUAUUUACAUCCAUUCAAAAUGAGUAUUUCCACAACCAAUCCACAAUGUAUUUCCACAACCAACCACAAUGUUAUAAUUUCACAACCACAUGAGCCAAUAUCCAAUCAUUAUUUCCACUAUACAUGACUUUUUCACAUGAUUCAUAUGUCCACAAAGUAUGAACAUAUCACAACAUGCCAAAGGCACCAAAAUAGGUAUUUCUAAUAAUACAAUACAAUUAUUCACAUGAAUUUUAGGCUAUCAACAUCACAUAAAACCCCGGACAGUCACAUACAUCACAUGAUAUCUCAGAUUUAACAGUUGCAUCACAUUCAGUCCCCCACACAGGCAUAACAUAUAGAUAUCCAUAUUUCAUGAUUGGUUUCUACCAUUAACAUGCAUUUUGUACCAUUAUUUACUACCCAACACAGUCUGAAAUAGUUAAGACAAACCUACCUCGAAUGCCGAAAUCGGUUCGCUACACUUUGAAUCCAUGACCUUACUUUCCACGAAUAAUUUUGAAAUACACUAAAAACUUCAAAUAUGAAAUCUAUGCGUCAAAACAAAAUCAAUAAUACCCAUAUUGACUACUUUUGAUUCGGGAUCAAAACAGAUCCUCAAAACAGAUUUUCAAAAAGGAAGUGCAAAAUCAUAAAUUUACUUCAAGAAUGUGUUUUUCAUAUUUUAAGGAGCCUACAGCUGAAAACCCAAGUCAAAUUGAGUAAAAAACAAGGUUCAAAUUGAAGAAAAAUCAUUUUUAAUCUUUACUAGGUAAAAUCUUUGAAAUCUAGGUUAAAGUCAAGAAUUGAAGUUGUUUUGAAGGUUAAAUUAACGAAAAUAAUAGUAAUUAUAAGAUUAAAAAUAUUAUUCAAGUGAAAAGAAGUGAAAUUGGGGUUUAAAAUUAAGCCCUAAGAUUUUUAAGAUUUUGAAAAAUUAAUCAAGAAAUUACUAAGAAAAUGGGUGAUUUCUUACCUUAAAUCUGUAAGAGAAUCAAGAAAUAGAUGUUAAUCUAGCUUCUCAAGCACCCAUAAGCUUCACUUUAAGCUCUCACACUAUUUUAGGGUUUAACUCUCAAGAGGAAGAUGAAAAAUGAGCAAAAUGGGCCCAAAAAACUGCUUUAAUAGAGCAGAUUUUUCUACACCAUCUAUUGAAAAAGUUAUUUUUUUGAAGUCCAACCCGAACUUUGACGUGAUGUUCGAAAUUCGGUUAGAGUCCAAUAUACACAAACAAAUUAUGUAACCACACUAAUUAGAUGCUCUGAACUCAAUGGCGAUAUCAAACUUUCAAAAAAUAUCGUUUUCACAAAGUUGAUCCCCGAAACCCAAAAUCACAAUUUUCCAAACCGAGGGUCGAAAUGAAAUUUAAAAAUCAUAAAAUCACACUAAAUAUAUUACCAUCCUAACAUUGACAUUUUGGAUGCGUUGGUGAAGUUAGAUUUUCCAUCCGAGGUCGUGUGGAUCCCACACCUAUAUUUUUAAUUUUCCAACUUUUCGAUCAAUAAUUUGAAAUGAGCUCAGAUGCAUCAAGACUCGAACCAAAGGUCUACCUAUCCUAAAAUCAAUAUUUUAGAGUUGUUGGCACAGUCCGUUCACUCAUUCUCGUACAGAUGAAAAGAUAUCCACAUAAAUUUAAAAUAAGGCUCUCGAAACCAUAAAAAAAAUAUUGCAUAAAUGGUACCAAAAUACAUUUGAGAGUCGUGCCAAUUACCCCCACGCUCUAAAAAUACCAAAACAUAACUACAGAAAGGGGUAACAUAGUCAAAUCACACAGAAACACACAUUUCAUAUAUUUCAUCAAAUUUUUAGGUCGUUACAUUUUUUUUGCCGUAAUACCAUGUCCAAUUUUUUUAAAAAAUUUAUGAUAGAUAAUGUGGAUCAAUUGCUUCUUUAUCGGAGUACAUGGCUUAUAUAUAUUCUCCUGAAUGAAGUCAUCUGCUAUGUAUAUAGGCCAUGAAUCAUUGUCUUAUUCUCUUCCUCAUAAUUCACCCUUUUUUAUUAGUUGACUUCUAAAUCUGAUAUGAAAAACUUUCUCAUCAGAUUUACAUGAUUUAUAUUUUGUCAUUUAGCUAAGAAAGACACCCCUCCACUUGUAAGGAUGAUAGAGACAGAUAGAGAGAAGAUAGUUAAAAAUACAGGUAGCAACGCGCAUUAAUAACAACACAUACAAAUAGCUAGGAAUUUCAAUAGAAAGACUGUCUAUCACCUCAAUCAUAACCGCUGCAGUUGCAGGAUUAUAACCAUGCCAUGUAACUAUAUUAACCUUAUAUAUAAGCCAACAACAAAAGGACUAAUAAUGCAUAGGCCAAUUAUACCAAAAUAAUUAAAAGUUGUGCCAACAAGAGUUGGAUAAUAUUGCAUCAGAUGGUAGUACAAAGAGCUAUCUAAGAUGUACAGUAAAAUCUUUAAGCUCUUUUCUCUGUCUGGCCCAGUUUUAUUGGCUAUAAUGAUGUUAUAUCCACGUGUAAAGAAAUGAUGAUCAAAAGGUCUAAGAGCGAACUGAUUCUCCCAAUUGAAUCCCAAGCUGCUCAAUCUCUAUUCCUUUCUCUUUCAAACUUGAAUUGGUGAUUCUUUCUUUUUUAUGGAUCUAUUUUUAUGGUAUGUGAUGAUGGUAGUACACCUGCUUUACUCCUUCAAUGUCGUAUAGAUAUAUUAUUUUCAGUUCUUAUGUGAUAUUUGUUAGAUUUGGUAAUUUUUGAAUACUUUAUUGUAGGAUUUUGUACUUGCAUAUUUCUAAUUUUAUUUGAUUUACAAAUGGAUGUUUGGAAAUUGAUUCACUUCUCUUUCUUUUCUUUGUUUAGUUUAUAUUUUUUGAAUUUCAUAGGUAUUAAGGCUCAUAAAAAACUUGAUUGACUUUUGAAUUUUUAUUGAUAAUGUCGUUUGGUUAGUUCACUGUCCUAAUUUGAUAUUUGAGAUUCAUUUUUUGAUUUGCAUUGUUCAAUCUUUUGGUUGUUAAAAAGUGACUAUGAUCUUAAUUAUGGCUCAAGCUAACAGUAGCACAAAGUUCAAAAAGUAAUGUAGCGAUAUUUGAAGGAAAACCAUUCUUCUGUACCAUAACCAAAUUUUCUCCCACGCUGCUUCUGUGCCAUAACCAAAUUUCCUCCCACACUAGCAGAGUUCUAGCAAAUGGUGAAGCAAUUUUCUUCAUGUGGUAAGCCAGUUUUUUGGAUACCAACUUCUCAUAUGAACCGAAAUUGAUUUUUCUUUCCUCUUUCAAGAAUGAAAUGAAUUUAGAGAUGGUCACAGUUGUUCAAACUUAGUGUGUUUGAUCAAAUUCUCAGGCAAAGAAAGAUAAUUACAACAAGUUUGUUAUCCUUUUCUCUGCAACUAUCAACAACCAAGUUCAUCGCUUAGCGUAAUAGUAUGGAUAUUAGUCAUUGGGAUUUCUUUUGUCAUGUUAUUGUGACUUUAUGCUACAUAUAAGGACAUAUAUCUUGGAUUGAAAAUAGACAUCAAUUUAGUUGAAUUGUGCUCUCAUUGAAUUUAUCACAUUUGCUUAUUUGGUGUUAAAAUUAUUUUCACAAUAGCAACUACCUUCUCAACUUGUGGAUAAAGAAAAGGAUUACUAGACGAGAAAAAGGACAAUAUAUUUCUUUACAGUGUUCUGUUAAUCGUUAACCAAUAAAAAAAUGUGUUGUGUUAGCAUAUUUCUCUUAAAAUUACUUAACUACUUAACUGGGAAGGCUUAUAUUAUGAAAAAAGUGGAGAAAAAUUCUGAAGUUUAUACCUUUUAUUUGUAAUUUUUUAAGGAAAAUUCUAACUUAAAUUGGUAUAUUCUUCUUUGUGCAGUUUAUAAAUUUUCAUGACAAAGAUGCUACAUUCAGUUUGCUGAUACAGGUAUUGAAUCCCAAACUUGAUUUUGUAUAUGUAUUUUAGAUAAUUAAAUCGACUUCAACAUUUUGUUCGAAAUCAUUUUUGGUACAUUAAAAAAUUCACAAUUUGAAGGGUAUUUUGACUAUUUAAUCAAACUUUAUUAUAAUCUGCGUGUUGCAUUUACCUAUCUUUCUUUCCUUUUUCUUUUACCUUUAGUGGCCGAGAAAUAGGUGUCCAAUAUAUCAAGAAGUGUUGCAUUUACUUAUAAAAACACUUUAGUACUAAGUACUUACUAUUGUCCCUUUAAUUAAUGCUUUUUCUGAGAAAUUAAAGUGGUCCAAUCCAAGAAACAUUGAAUCAUUUUCAGUUGCUAGCAUGGCUAACAACCUUUUGAAGGGGUCAUUAGAUGAUUUCUUUGAACAAAUCUUGGGAUUUCCUGCAUACAACAGAGCUGAACCUAAUUUGGCGGGAAACGAUCUCGGAGCUAUACCCUCGGCGAUGAUGCUUUAGUUAAACUCCAAUGAUGGGUUAGGGCAGUUUAAUGGAGUUGGUCUUGGUGUUGCACUAGGUGGAAUUAGGGGUGGGGGUGGGGGUGAGGGUUCUAUCAUAGAGGGGGUCGUGGUGGUAGUUCAUUUCCAUUGGGGUUGAGUUUCGAACAAGGGAAAGGUAGUGAUGGGUUCGUGAAGAUAGAUAAUGUUUCAGCACCUGGAAGGAGAUUUAGAGAUGGUGUUGUUGAUAGCAGGCCUUCUUCUUCUGUUAAACUUGUAAUUAUUUCCUAUUUCUUUUCUUACUUUUUUAGUUUCUUGAUUUCUUCUACUUUGAUGUUGUGUUCCAUUUUGUCUCUUUUUUUGUGCAAGUUGAUGGAGUGUUUCCUAGGAAGCUUUCACCAAAAAGAUUUCACCUUUAUGCCAUUUGUUUUUUCUGAUUUUAUUUCUCGCUUGAACCUGCUAUCUGUUAGCUCACUGCUAGAAAUAGAGGUUUCCCACCCUGAAUCAAUGAGAAAUUUGUGUUCUAUAAUAUGAUUUUUCUAUCUAUUUACCAUCGAAUCAUCUCUCUGGAAAGCCUACAGUGGAAAAUAGAUUUUCAUUAAAAUACUAGAAAUCUUUCUAAUUUUUUUGUGUGAAAACACUACUAUGUUUUCUUUUCUCACCGAUUCAAUCAAAAUAUCUAUGAAAAUAGCCAAUGAACAUUUUUCAGUAAGAAAUCUCAAAGAAGAAUAGUGAUUUUUUAGUAGUGUUUCUGCCGUUUGUUCUUCCAUGCUUUAAUGAGAAGGAUCAAAGGUUGACGCUGCCUCUUUCACAGCUCCGGAACCACAGGUAUUGCUAUCUCAAAAAUUUUUAUAAUAAGAUCUCUUCUAUUUUAUGUGCCAGUGUCAAAAGAGUGUUUUUUUAUAGUAGUAUUUCUGAAUAUUAAUCCAGACCUAUUGUUAAACAACCAUAUAUUUCCAUUGAAAUCCAACAAUGUCAUGCUUUUAUCGGAUAAGUAUUAGAAGUGCCAUACAUAGUCAUGGUUUAGCCAUUCAGAACUGCUCGAUUAUUUAUACUCUAAUCAGGACCUGUUGUUCUCUUAUUUCGAUCGUGCUACUUUCUUCUAUCAUGGGCUUUAACCAUGCAACUCACUUUUCAAAAAAUAUUCUUUUACUUGAUAAUGUGGAAGUUGUUUAUUGUUGAUUUAGUCUUUGAGGGAAGGUUUGUAUCUUUGUGGGUUUCUUUAAAAUUGAUUAUUUUGGUUUGCAAUUGACGAACUGGCUUCAUUUCUAUGGGUUUCUUUAAAAUCAAUUAUUUUGGUCUGCAACUGAUGUACUGAUUUCAUUCGUACAACUAAAUGCAGAACAGAUUUCACUCUUAGAUGUAUUACCUUCCUCUUUUGAAUGACAGGUGCGCACUGUGUUGGAUAUUGGUUUGGUGCCCGCCUAUUCUCACUGAAGUUGAUAGCUAAAAUUCCUGAGGUGUCAUGUGUUGUAAAUAACCAAAUAGUGUAAGGAUCCUUUUUUGAGUAUCUAUGAUUUGAUAAGUAAUAAAUUUCUGUACAGUUGUAAUGAAAUCACUGAAUAGUCCAUCAUGUGGCCUAAUGAUGCUGGGAUUUUACUUUUCUCAAUCCAAUUGUUGAAUUGCUUGUGGUAGGCUUGAGUAACUAUUAGGAGUUGAUGGCACCCCUGUUACGUGAGAAGUGUGAACAAUUUUGCAUCAAUCAAAGACACUACUGACCGAAAGAAACUUAUAUAAGUGACGUAUGAAUCUAACCAAUACUGACAUGAAAAUUUCAUUAAAAAAUUGACUUGAUCAAGGAAGCAGACUUAAAUUCUAGAAUCUAAGAUGUUCUUCAGACUUGUGAAGCUCUUUUGAAUGUGUCUAGAAUAACAAUUUAGUUUUGUCGAUGUUGAGCCCGCCAUCUAAUCUGAAAAUAAACAAACAACUAAAAGAUUCAAUACUAACCAUAAAAUGCACACUAUACCCGUACCUUUGGGAUAGAGUUUAACACUGAACAAUAUUUUAAAAACAAUUAGGAUUCUAUUAAUCUGUCGCUUACACCUACACUAAGAAUUCACUUAAAAAAUAGUUGAAAACGAAAAAAGAUAAACAUUUGAUAUUUCCAUCUAUUCCCUUCAAUGGCAACAUAUUUGUUUCAUCUAGUUUUUCGAUCAAUUUUCACUUGAAAAAGAAACACGAAAAAUUAUCAAAAGAAAAGAAUACAUUGUAAAUUAUUGAUUACAUAUAGUUUAUGCAUAUAUAAUUUUUAAUUGUAUUAACUUAAAAAAGAUUGAUGAUGAUAAUGUUGAAUGCAAGAACUUGAAUCAAAAUAAAAGAACUAAAAAAAAGACGGACGAUGAUAAUGUUGAACGCAAUACCUUGAAUCAAAAUAAAAGAAGAAAAGUAGAAGAAGCAUCGUGGAGAUUUUCUUGUGCCUAUUCUUUGGAUGUGUUUUAUCCAAUUUUUUUUGUACCAAACUUAUUUUAAUUGGAAAAAGGAUCUUUGGUAUAAGAAAUUAACCAAAAUAAAAAUUUGUUGCCUAUUUUUUUUUGAAUAUUUUUUGCCUUUGGUUUUUUAACAUCUUUUGUCUCUCUUUUUUUUUUUUUCCUGGGGAGAGGGAGGAGUAGGGGUGGACAUAUUUUGGUUUAAACCAAAAAAAUCAAAAAUUUAAAUCGAAAUUUAAUUUUGAUUUCGAUUUUUCGGAUCGGAUUCGAUUUGUAAUUUUAAAAUUUCAGUUUUUCGAUUCGGUUUUCGGUUUUAAAAAAAAUCGGUUAAACCAAAAAACUAAAAUUUUAUAAAUAAAUAAAUAAUAUAUAUAUUUUAUAUAUAUAUAUAUAUAGUAAUUCACAUUCACAAUUAACAUUUAACGGCAAAUUCGCAUACGUCGCAAGCUGUUUAUGGAUUGUUUUAGUGACUCAAAUAUUUUAUGGACUAUUUUGGUGACUUUGGACUGUUUUAUGGACUAUUUAUGUAAGAUUAUAUUAUAUGUAAUUAUUAAUGACGUUAUGUAUUAUGUUAAGCUUAUGAUUAUUUCAUUUCGUUUCAUCCAUGUUGAGUUAUUUAUAGUUAUUUAUUUUUGAGAAUGAAAAACAGGUUUGAAAAAAUAAUUUUUCUAAAAAAAACUAUCAUUUUUAAAUGCUCAAUUAUGAAAAAGAGAGGCUAACUACUUUAAUAUUUCAAACUGAAAUAAAAAUCUGAAAUAACUGAACUGAACCGAAUUUGUAAAAAGUGAACCAAACCGAAUUUAUUUCGGUUUGAUUACGGAUGUCAUUUUUGUCAAUCCAAAAACCGAUAAACCAAACCGAUAUUAAACAAUCAGAUCGAACCGACCGAACACCCACCCCUAGAGAGGAGGGGGGACCAAUUCUAUUUUAAUUGAAAAGGAAUUUGUGUGUAGAAAAUUAACAAUAAUAAGAAAACCUUCUUCAUUUAAAUUUUAAUAUGUAUUAUAUUGAAUAUUUAAUAUCAUGUGAAUUGACUAUCAUACCUAUAGAGGGGAGACUUUUAUGAAGGACAAAAAGUUUAAAUAACAUUUCUAAAUUCUUUCAAACUUUUAAUAUAUUAGAGAUUAGAGAUAAAGAUUAAAUAUAGAGAUAUGGAGGGUGUUUGGAUGGGCUUAAUAGUCGGUCAAAAUAGCUUUUAAGCCAUUUUUUACUUUUUGAAGUGUUUGACCAUUUUAAAAAUUACUUUAAAAAGUCAAAUUUUGCUUUUAAAAAGCCAAAAGCUAAAAGCACCUCAUUCCCUACUUAUUUAUUUUCGUUGUAUAAGUCAUUAUAGGCUGACCAAGUAAAAGACAUUUUUGUCCCUCAUAAUUCUCUCUUAUUCCAAAAUUACCCUUGUCUAGCCCUCAAUAUUUUCACUUUUUGUAUUUAUGGUGAACUUAACUCUAGCCAUAUUAGUAUAUCUUUUAUAUGAAACUUCUAAUUUAUGAAAUAUUAAUUUUUAUAUAUUAUUUUCCUUCUUUAAUAUAUUCUUUUAAAUUUGGACAAUUAUUAUUGUACAACAUAUGAAUUUCUCUAAGAAAAAAAUAACUCAUCAACCAAAAUAUACGAAGAAUACUCACUAAAGAUAUUCAACUUCAAGGACGAUUAGUAAACAAUCCAUCUAUAUUUCAUGAUGUAACAUUCGUAUUCUUCAAUGCUUUAAUAGUGAUAGUCAUUACUCAAUCAAUGAAUAAUAUAUUUUCUAAUUAAGAGACCUUUUAUCAAACAAAUAGUAUCAUUUGUGAUCAACUAUUUAGCUAUUAAUGUAAUUAUAAUGAUUAGUAACAUAUAUAUUUUGCUUGAGGGUUGGUUUAGUCUUUUAUUUAAAAAAAAAAUCAAACCAAUGAUGUCAAUUUUUUAAAAUUACAAACCAAAUCAAACCGACAUAAAAUUAUUUUUUUCAAUUUAAAUUUUAAUCGGUUCUUUCAGCUUUUUUGAUUUUUUUUUUUAUAAUCUUUAGUUUUUAACAUUAUAUUGUUAUUGAAGAGUAGAUCAAAUAUGUUUUCACUCAUGUGCUAAUGAAAAAUCACAAUUAUGAAAAAAUGAGGAGCGAAAAACUCUUGAAAUUAAAAGUAAGAUGAAGAGUGAAAAGUUUAGGUUUCAAAUUUAUAUUGAAUUUUGAAUCAUUAAUUAACAAUUAAUGGACAAACAUUACAACUUAAAGACCCAAAUCUGAAUAUAUAUUUACAUCUAUUUUCUAAAAUAUUGAAAAUUAAUAAAACUAAUUAUAAAAGUGUUUAAAAAGUAGAUUACAAUUAAUACUUUAUGUAUAUAAGGUUAAAAUUAUAUAUAUAUAUUCACAACGCAACAUUCGUGUUUGCUAAUAUUUUAAUAGUGAUAAUCAUUACUCAAUCAACGAGUAAUAUAUUUUCUAAUUAAGAAUCUUUUUAUCAAACAAAUAGUAUCAUUUGUUAUCAACUAUUUAUCUAUUAAUGUAAUUAUAAUGAUUAAUAACAUAUAUUUUGCUUAAUGAUUUAAACUCUUUUAAUAAAAAAAAAGAUUUUUUAGCGCACAAAUUAAUAAUCAUGCAUGAAAAUAUUUUUAAUAUAUAUAUAAAUAUAUAUUAAUUUUAAUUUAAAUUAUUUUAGAAAUAAAAAUUAAUAAUAAUCAACUCUGUAUAUUGUUAACAGCUUUAAGAGUAUUUCAGACAUUUUGACAAAAAUAAAGUGCUUAACAACACUUAUUUAUCAAACACAUCAACAACUUUUUUUCAGUUUCAACACGUUUAUCCAAACACGUAACUGUUUAUUUUUAAAAGAAGUUUCAACACUUUCAAAAGCACUUUUAAAGAAUUUUUUAUAAGUUAAUUGCCCUUAUGAUUUGACAACCAAUUAACUUUUGAAAAGGUAUUAUAAGGUCAACUUUUUUUUUUGGGGUAAAAAUAGAAAGUUGCGUUAAAUUUAUGUCUUUAAUGUUUUUUCCUUAAUAUGUGUGCCAAAAUCCAAUUCAUUUAUUAUGAAACGGAAGGAGUAUUAUUCUUCCUCUUCAAAUUCCAAUGGAAAUCAACCUUAAAUCUUUUUUUUUUUGGUAAAACAACCGUAAUCUUCACCAAAAUUUCUCAAAAUGACAAAGUUUUUCGCAAAACCCUGUUCUCGAAUUCUAAAUAUUUUUAGUAGCUGUCGAUGGAGCUUUUUAUUGAGUUUAUAGCUUUAGGUAUGUUCGGUGAGAAAUAGAAUGGGAGUGAAAUUGAGAAGUCUAAAGCCAAAAAUUAAGAAGAUUAUCGGUCUCUUACUUUUAUCUAUAUUUUGCUAUGAUUAAUAAAGUGUGUUACAUUUUGUAAUUAAGUACAAAUACCCGAAGUAGUUAUAAUUUAAAACUUAAAAAUAGCUUAUUCUUACAAAAUUGAACCACAAAUCACACCAAACUAUAAAUCGAGUCAAAUCAAAAAAAAAAAAAACCCGACAAAUAAUUUGGUUUGGUUAGUGUUUGAAAAAAAAUCAAAUAUAAUUGAUUUGGUUUGGCUUUUACUAAAAAAAGAUCAAAUCGAACUGAACCAACGUGAUAUUAUAUUUGUACCAUUUUUAAAAAUAUUUAUAUAUAAAAAUAUAUACUAUUAUAUAAUUUAUAAAUCUUUCUUAAACUUUUUCAUAGUUUUUAAUCUUUUGACAUAUUAUUUCAAGUUUAAACUAAUUGGUCCAAUAAGUUUUAUAGCCAUGGAUAUUAGUCACUCUAAUAAAUCUCUAAUCAAUACUAAUGCUAACAAAAAUAUUCAAGGAAAAAAUUAAAACGUACAUCGUUAGAUUGAAUGUUGCAAGUCAUAGUAAUACUUCAUAGAUAGCAAUUAAUAACAACUUUUAAAAUAAAUAAAAAAAUUUAAAAUUAAUUUUUUAAAAUAAAGAAAUUAUCCUUAAAUUAAGAAGUAGGUUAACAAAAGGAUAUCAACCACCCCCUAAUUUCUCUCUUCAAAUGAUUUUUUUUUCUUUUUCAAACUGAAGUAGUGUCUUCUUCUUCAUUAAAUCUAUUCUUCUACUUAUUUCUUCAAAAAAAUCAUUAAAAAAUAUACUGAUUGGAAUGCAAAUUUUUAUAUACUUUUGAUAUUUAAGAGGAGGAUUUCCAUUACAAUACUGACUUAAGUACUUUAAUUAAAACUUGAGUAUAACACCUCAGGUUUUUGGUCCUUAAAAUUUUUCUGAGUUUUGAGCUCCCUGUCCUGACUAAGACUCUCCCUAUGAGUCGUAGGGUAUUUUGACGGGCCAUGUGACCCUAGUCGUAAGAUGUCCAGAAAGUGUUGUUGAAGUUACUAUCCUGGGUACGACUUGAGGGUACUAAUCAUAAAGACUCAUGACGAGUCGUUGAGGCAAGUCGUAACCAAAUCAUGUAAGUUUGUGGCAUGAUUCUGCUCUGAGGGUAAAACAACCGUAAUCUUCACCAAAAUUUCUCAAAAUGACAAAGUUUUUCGCAAAACCCUGUUCUCGAAUUCUAAAUAUUUUUAGUAGCUGUCGAUGGAGCUUUUUAUUGAGUUUAUAGCUUUAGGUAUGUUCGGUGAGAAAUAGAAUGGGAGUGAAAUUGAGAAGUCUAAAGCCAAAAAUUAAGAAGAUUAUCGGUCUCUUACUUUUAUCUAUAUUUUGCUAUGAUUAAUAAAGUGUGUUACAUUUUGUAAUUAAGUACAAAUACCCGAAGUAGUUAUAAUUUAAAACUUAAAAAUAGCUUAUUCUUACAAAAUUGAACCACAAAUCACACCAAACUAUAAAUCGAGUCAAAUCAAAAAAAAAAAAAACCCGACAAAUAAUUUGGUUUGGUUAGUGUUUGAAAAAAAAUCAAAUAUAAUUGAUUUGGUUUGGCUUUUACUAAAAAAAGAUCAAAUCGAACUGAACCAACGUGAUAUUAUAUUUGUACCAUUUUUAAAAAUAUUUAUAUAUAAAAAUAUAUACUAUUAUAUAAUUUAUAAAUCUUUCUUAAACUUUUUCAUAGUUUUUAAUCUUUUGACAUAUUAUUUCAAGUUUAAACUAAUUGGUCCAAUAAGUUUUAUAGCCAUGGAUAUUAGUCACUCUAAUAAAUCUCUAAUCAAUACUAAUGCUAACAAAAAUAUUCAAGGAAAAAAUUAAAACGUACAUCGUUAGAUUGAAUGUUGCAAGUCAUAGUAAUACUUCAUAGAUAGCAAUUAAUAACAACUUUUAAAAUAAAUAAAAAAAUUUAAAAUUAAUUUUUUAAAAUAAAGAAAUUAUCCUUAAAUUAAGAAGUAGGUUAACAAAAGGAUAUCAACCACCCCCUAAUUUCUCUCUUCAAAUGAUUUUUUUUUCUUUUUCAAACUGAAGUAGUGUCUUCUUCUUCAUUAAAUCUAUUCUUCUACUUAUUUCUUCAAAAAAAUCAUUAAAAAAUAUACUGAUUGGAAUGCAAAUUUUUAUAUACUUUUGAUAUUUAAGAGGAGGAUUUCCAUUACAAUACUGACUUAAGUACUUUAAUUAAAACUUGAGUAUAACACCUCAGGUUUUUGGUCCUUAAAAUUUUUCUGAGUUUUGAGCUCCCUGUCCUGACUAAGACUCUCCCUAUGAGUCGUAGGGUAUUUUGACGGGCCAUGUGACCCUAGUCGUAAGAUGUCCAGAAAGUGUUGUUGAAGUUACUAUCCUGGGUACGACUUGAGGGUACUAAUCAUAAAGACUCAUGACGAGUCGUUGAGGCAAGUCGUAACCAAAUCAUGUAAGUUUGUGGCAUGAUUCUGCUCUGAGUACGAGUGGCUCACUAAGAACUGUAAGGAGAUGUAUGAGUUGUUAGGUGUAAUCGUAAGGCGUUCAGUGUAUAUCCCAAAUGCAUUCUGUGUUGAUUACGACUGAGACCUACGAGUCAUAGGGUCUCAUUACGAUUUUUGUGGAUGAGUCAUAAGGUCAGAAGUAUAUAGUGCCUUGGUUGUACUACCUUAGUUACGACUCGUGAUAAUGAGUCUUAAGGAGCGCUACGAGUCAAGGGUUGACCCAUAGUCAAAGGCGACACUUUUUAGCUUUUGAAAGGGCAUCCUGGACAUUUUUCCUCUUACGCAUUUUGAAACCCACAUCUUAUAAUACCUUUAAGGUGUCAUUAACACUCAAAAACCAAUCCAAGUAACUUUUCAAACACUCCAAAGUCUCUCUAAGUUCGCUCAAGCACGCCAAGCUAGGGUUUCAUCAAGUGGGUUAUCUAACGGCUCAAGGGCCAAAUUCUCUCCAAAUUUCUUGGUGUUUAAGGCACGUUACUCUUCCCUCAUUGUUAAUUUUAUAAAAGCAUGUGAUUUAAAGUAUUGUUCAUGACAUAUUUAUGAUGAUUUUGAAAUAAGGGUUGAGCUUUUGAAUGCUUGUUGUUGAACAAUAUUUUUUCGUGGUUUACAUAAGGUUAUUCAUGCUUUAAUAAUGAUUUUGAACUUGUGGGUGCUUGGGUAUGGUGAAUGAACUCGGGAAUUUUGAAUUUCCCAAACUUGUAACUUUUGAAUUGGUCAUGACUCCAACCCAUUAAUGUGAAAUUAGUUAUUAGUUAUGAGAAAUAUGGGAAUUUGUGAAAUUGAACUAGUCUUGAACUGUUGUAUGAUACAAAGAGGUAAUUGAAACACAGAGAUUUAAUUUAAUGAAUAAAAGGAGUCGGUGUACCCCUACCUUUCAUUAAAGAACAAAGGAAGUUGUUCUCCCCAAGUUAAUAAAAUUAUUUUGGCAUGAUGUUAUUACCUUGCAAGUGUAGUUGGUAUGACGAUACCAACAGUGUAUGCCUUAAUGUGGAAUAUGAUCAAUGAAUGAGAAUGUGUAAUGCUUGUUUUAAUUGAGCUCUAAUAAGGAUUGUGUAGCUGAGUCAUGAAAGUGGAAGUCCGAGUAACCGAUACUGAAAACCACUUUUGCCGAUGCGGGGGUCAAAGUAACCACGGAGGUUUGAGUCCCCCUCAUUAUUAUUUCAUGAUUAGGGAGGUUUGGGUCCCCCACAAAUCAUUACAUGAUCGCGUGCUUAAGUCACCUUAGUAUAUGUUGAGAAGUUCGAGUCCCCCAGGUGCAUAUAUAUAAGAUUAUUUUCUGGUUCGUGUGGCUACACACACUGGGGCCCAACUGGGGGUGAGAGCUGGGACUAUAUUGUCUGUGGGUAUUAUUAUAUGACAGUUGAACUACAUAAUCUAGGUUAAAGUUUUAAGUGUAUGUUAAACCUUGUUCUCUAUCCCGACAUGUGAAGCAUAUAUGUAUAUGUAAUUGAUUAUGUGCAUUGGUUUUGAAUAAUUUUAAACUGUUGAUUUUGACAUUUAUGUUAUCCUUAUCCCUAAGUUACAUGCUAGCGUUCACAGCGCUAACAGUCUUCAGAUGUUGUAUCCCUAUGCGAUGUACGAGUUGGUCAUACUUCUACUCCUCCUACUCAGUGAUUAGGAUCCGAGAUCAGCUCAUUAGUUGACAUUGACGUGGUGAACUUCCAUGCAUCGGAAAUCUACAUUUCAUGUUUUGUUCUUUUACUUCUCAGACUGUUCAGUCUUAUUUUGGCUAUAGUCGGGGGCAUGUCCCGACACUUUAUUGAUAUUCAGCUUUAGUUCUUGUUAUAAGGCUUUGUUUGAACUACUAUGGUUAUUGGAUGGUUUCGGUUGGUUGUUUGGCCAAUCGUCGGUGGUUGGUCAUGGACAUGCAUUAAAAAUUUUCUUAAGCUAUUGCACGCUAUCUUGUUAUAUAUUUGAAAUUCAUCCAACUUUAGAGUGUGUUGUGUUUGGAUUGGUCAGGUGCAGUGGGUGAUCUCCGAUCCACGUGGGACUUGAGAUACCCAUCACGACUAGGCCCUGAUUCGAGCUGUGAGUUAUUGAAAAGAAAAACAUAUAAAAACUCAUUAUCAUCUAGCUUUUUUGUUAAUCAUUGAAAAAUUUUUAUUAAAAUAUUUUUCUUCUUCUUCCUCUAUAAAUCAAAAAUUUAUUCUAAGUGAACCCCAAUAUUAUCCAAAUUUUUAAUCUUAAUCAUUAAAUACAGUUUACAUAUUUUGAUUGCAACAUCGGAAAAAGUAUUAUUCAGAUUUUUUAUGAUUAUUUCAAUACCAUUUUCAUCCACUAAAAACAUUAAUAAGUAUGCAUCAUUCUUUUAUAUCAUUUUACAUACCAAUUUCAUAAAUCAAAAAAUCAAAAAUCAAAUAAUGAUAAAUAACAUGGUUUAAAGUUGAUUGAAAAAACAAAAUGAAAUGUAAUGCACAUAAAGAGUUUGUGUAUGUAAUGAGUAUACCUAAUUUUCAAAUAAAUUUACAUAAAAAUCACAAUAUUUUUUACUGUAGUAUUAAUAUGAAUUACAUACAUAGAGAAACCGAUAAGAAAUACCAUUUAGUAAAUGAGAUGGAUUUAUCAACUAAUUUUAAUAUAAUUUAUUAUAUCAUUCUUCAUUAGCAGAUUUUGUAUCAUUUUCAUACACUAAACGUUAUAAACUUUUAUAUCGUUUUUAUAAUCAGUAAGAAAAAAUCAUUUAUACGUAACAUUUGUUAUUUCAAUUUCAUAUAUUUAACAAUAAGAAUAUAGUGAUACCAUUUGGAACAUGUCAUUGUUAUGCAAAUGGGUUGCUCUCUUCCACAAAUCUAGACCUCUUUCGAGUAGGAGUAGAAUCAAACUUAUGAAUAGAAGACACGAGUCAUGAUGAAAUCAAACUCAACCUUAAAUAAAGCUGAUUAUACACAAAUGUCAAGAAUCAAACCUAAAUUGAGCCAAAUGUCUAUACCCAAGAGCAAAAAAUGGUGAAGAAAAUAAAAGAUGAAAUAUUGUAAGUACAAAACCACGGAGUAAUUAGACAAGAGGCGUGUAUUAAUGUCACGAUCCGAUUUAUAAGUCAUGAUGAAAUCUACUUUAUCCCACCAGUAGGUAAGCCAAACAAUAGCUGAAGCUACACGCAAUGGGCUAACUUGGCGAAAAAUGACCCAAAAAUCAGAAAUUAAUAUUUAAAGAGUUAAAAUAGCAAUAGAGUAGUUAUAAAAGUCUAAUAAAUAGAUGAAGGGGUCAACAACCAUCCCAAGACUCAGUAAUGUUGCUAUAAAAGCUUCUAUAAAUAAACUAUAAGUACUGAACAGUCACAUACAAUCUGUCUCAAAAAUGAAAGACUAGACAUAGAUAAGUAGAAGGAAAAAUGGUAACUCCAACUCUAAGAGCUCAUCCAAUCUCUGAAAUCAACUCUGCAUGAGCAUCACGUCAAUGGCGGCAACUACUACUCGUAUCUGGACCAAAAAGGUACAAAUGUGUAGUAUGAGUACCAAAACCACGGGUACAUCGACUCACUGAGCUAAUCAUAAUAUAAAUAUGAUAAGAUACAAGAUAAAAUAACUAAGCAUAGGUAAACGGGCAAACUUGGAAAUAAGCUUCAACACCAAUGUGCAUAAGUAAUUAAAUAAAUAUGGGAGUCAAUGUAAAUUUCACACCAUUAUAACUACUAAAUUAGCCCCGAUAAGUCAAUAAGUAUGGAAAAUUAAAUAACUCAAUGAAGGCCCCCUUAAGCCUGGAGAGUACAAUCAAGAAAAGUAAAUAACCCAAUAACAAUAAAUUACCAAUUAUCCUGCAAUAACCAAGAAUCAAUCCAAACUACCUCAUAUUAUAAAUAAGUCCCAAAAUGCUGGACUUGAAUCGAAACUCAAUAAUAUCAUCAUCACUACCAUCAUUUACCGGACUUGAACAAGAAUUUAUAUCAUCAAUAUCAUCAUCAAAUGUCAGAUUUGAACCGAAACUUACAUAUCAUUAUCAUUAUCAUCAUCAAUUGACAGACUCGAAUCAGGACUUAUAUAUCCUUAGACCAUAUCAAUAGACUAUAUAAAUAAACCAUAAUUAUAAGACAUAUCACUAAAUCAUAAUAAUUAUCCAUUAGAACUUAUCCAAAAUUAACACAAACUCUCAACUAUUGAACUAGCGUAAUCAAUAAGCAUCUAAUCUCUUCAAAGUCUCAAAAUAAGCAUUAAUAAGGGUAUAUCAUAUAUAAAUAAGUCUAAAAAAUCUAACACAAGUCUUGACCUAAGGUGGGCCGAAGGGGCCUACUACUAAUCCCCGAAAUUCAUUUUAGAAAAAUUGUAUUCUGGACUAGGAUAAGGUAUCUACAUUCAUUUCUAUAUGUUAAAUAAGUCAUAAUUAUCCCUAAGAUAGUAAUUCUCCCUAAACAUGAGCAACUAAGUCAAUUAUGCCUAAAUUAUGAUUUCACGAUAGCCUAAACAAUCCAACUAACCCAAAUAUUAUCAAUUAUACCUCCAACACCUAAAUUUCAGCUAAUAUCUAGCAUAUUAUCAUAAUGAUACUACGAAAUAGCUCAAUCUAUGAAUCUGCUAAACCACUAAUUUUUCUUUUCGAGAAACUUUUUCAAGAUGUCACGCUAUCAAAAUCAUAAUUUACUCAUCAAAAUGAGAACAAUAAUACCCACAUUGCACUAUUGUCCUUUGAGUCUAAAAUUACGUAAAAAUCUCAUGUGGGGCCUACAAUCAAGCCACCAAGAUUCUAGAGAUUUUAGAAAAAGAUGAACGAUUUUAUCAAGAAAUUAAUAAAAGCUUACCACAAAUUCUAAGGAAAAUGCAUAAAUUGAUUUUACCCAAGCUCUAAAAUCACCCAUAAAUGUUCUCCCAAGAAUUCUCACUUUUUAGGGUUUAAUAUUCUAUAGAAUGGUGAAAACCGAGCUAAGUGGUGUAUUUAUACUCUUCCCAGGCCCACAAUGUCGCUUAAGGGACACUUGCUGUCACAACACAAGUUGAGUAAACGAUGCUAGUAUCGCUUUAGCAGUGUUCGCAUACACAACACGCCCCGCUUAUGCGAAACAAUGGGCAAGCCAGGUCACUUAAGCGACUGGUUGGCCGUGUACGUGAUGCACCAGCACCAGCUGAGACUUGGAAUUUUUCCAAGUCUUUACUAACCCCUUAGGAUACAUUCGAAAUCUCAUAUAUGCAAAUGAACAAUGAUAACCUAUCAAAUUAGACAUUUCAGAAUCAAUGGCGUAGUUAAAAUUUUCAUCUAGGGUCGUUUCAAUGAAAAAUGGGUCCCACACCCACCUGUCAUUUUUCUUAACUUCCGAAAAAUAGCCCAAAAUGAGUUCAAAAACCUCGGAACCUGAACCAAGGGUUCACCUAGACUAAAAUCGAUAUUUUGGAGCUAUUGUAAUAGUCAGAAUUGGCAUACAAUAUCUUUUGACUCAAUGUUUUGCUCGGUAGCCAAUUUGAAUCAACGAAGACUUCAAAAUAGGCAAUUGGUUGUAUAAACCAAAUGAACUGCCCGAUAACUGCACUGUCAGUUCUAGCAAGUCUUAAAUGACUUGGGGCAGCUGUAGAACGCUCUAAAUGGCAAAAAUGAGUGGAAAUACAGAAAAUGACCUAUUUGGUCAUUACAAUAUCCACUACUAAAAGAACAUCCGUUCGCAAAAGUAAAAGAUUAGGAUAUAUCUGAAGCCUCAAAUAGGUGAGGAUACUGGGUCUGCAUCUCGCUCUCGAUCUCCCAAGUAGCAUCCUCUACUGGGUGAUGCCUCCACUGAACCUUAACUACUGAAAUCUCUCUAGUGCCUAACCGCCAGACAUCACUAGCCAAUAUGAGCACCAACUCCUCCAUGAAGGUCAACCACUCAUCUAACUGAACUGAGUCCCAUCUAAGCACAUGAGAAGGGUUAAAAUAUAUCACCGCAACAUAGAAACAUGAAAAAACAAAUGGACAGCAGCAAAAUUUAUGAGUAAGUAUCACGCUUCAUUUCGAACAGGUCGAAACAACACACAACAUAUGAUCGUCGUUGCAACUCUUUUUGAUUUUUUUGAAAAAUUGUUUGUUUGAGUCACCACCUAACUCUUAAGGAAAACUAGAAAAAUCAUUUUUUGUUAUGUGAAAACUCUGUUUUUGUUUGCGAGAAUCCGUGAGAUUCUAAGUAGGAAUUUUGGUUACUCAAGGGGAAGGUAUUAAGCAUCCAUCAAAGCCUAUUCAAAUAUAAUCCUUAAACUUAGUUUUAGAAAAAUAUUUGAAAAACAUUUAUCUAGAAAAAUAUUUGAAAAAUAUUUAUCUCAUUAUUUGCUAAAAUGAUGAUAGGAAAACUUUUGUUAUUAUUAUUACUAUUAUUAUUUUGAAAAGAUACUUAAAUAUAGAAUACAUAACGCUACCGUAUACGAGCAAGUAACAUAAUUAUUGUAAAAUGAUAUAUGAAUAUUUUGAAAUGUGGGAAGGAAGAAUAUUUCUAUUGUAAUAAAAAGCAUAAAAAUGUAACGCUUUUGCAAGAAAAUAUGUUUAAAAUGUAUAAGAGUUGAACAUGUGGACAAAAUUUAUUAUAAAGUAAAAUUCUUUAAAGUAUGAAGUAAUUUAUUCAAAAUAAACCUAAAUAUACUAAUAUUUAGAAAUAUGUGACAAGGAUGUGAAAAUUUAUUAUUUUUAUUUGUGAAGUUCUCAAGGAUAGGAAUUAAGUAGAGAAUAAGAUAGAAUGUGCGUGUGUGUAUAUAUAUAUAUAUAUAUAUAUCGUAGAAUCAAAAUAACUUAUGAGUAAUGAUAAUAAUAAUAAUAAUAAUAGAAAUUGCAGAAAAGUGAUAAUAAUCAUAAUAAUAGUGAAAUAGUAGUAAUAGCAAUAAAAUAAACUUUACAUAUGGUAGCGGAAGAACACAUAUAUCUUGCAUUGUGCAGAUUUCUAAAUUCAAAAACAUGAAAUAAUGUUAAAAAUAAAAAUGAAAUAAGAUAAAUAUUUGAACGCUAUGAAAUUGUGUAAAAGCCGAAUUUUGAUAGGUAAGUUAUUUGCCAUAUUGAAAAAGGUUUGGCUAAUUAAAAGUCACUUUGGUGAUUUGUUUGAAAAAACUCCAAUUAAGAUAUAACACAGUUAAUUAAUAUUUUUCAAAAUAAAGACUAACUGACCAUUUCAUUUAAUUAAAAAAAAUAUGUAUUUCCAUUUGAGAUUGUACUUGUGAAAAAGGCAAAGUUUGUCAUUUAUUCUAAAAGUUUGAUUCGCAGGUGCAAAGUUGUAUAAUUAAGUGGUUAAACCAUUUACCAUUAUUACAUAUAUAUGGGCAUCGAAUGAACAUGAAAUUAGCUGAAUAAAAUCAAUUCUAAAUGAUUCAAAGCUUAACCAAAACUAAAUAAAGUAAAGUUAUCAAUUUCAAUUAAAGCCACAUAAAAAAAUAUAAUCAAAAUAGCACAAGGUUAGUGAAACAAAUGCGAAUAAUAAAGUCAUGAAAAAGGUAAAGUACUAGAUACUAUAAAUUUCUAUCACAAAACUCGGCUCGAUUUCUAGCAAUUUAAACUUGGCGCUCUGUGAUCCUAUAGUUUUGACCCAAAAUUUGGGUCAAAACGAGUUUCGAUCAAAACUUCGACUCUCGAGAUUACAUGAAAUAAAGAAAAUAAUAAGAAUUAGAAACCGAACUUGAUGAAAUAAAUGAAUAAUGAAAAUGGUAUACAACCAAUGACCAAAUAGAUCACGCAAUACAAAAAUAAAUAAACUUUAAUUAUCACCCAAAUGAAACUAACUUAUGCAUAUUUUAGCAAACAGCGUCUUGAUGAAGCUACGAGUCAACAAUCCCACCUUAUCUCAAAAUAUUUAACAAAAUUCGAAUCUUAAAUCUUUUCAAUGUAUAGGAAUGUGAUAAUGUAAGCUAAUCAAACCAAAUCUCCAUCUAUGUUCACAGGAGAAAAACUUAGAACAGCUCAUUAAUGGGGACUUUCUUCGUGUCUCCUAUACUUUGAACAUUCACAGAAAUGUCAAACAAGACAAGACGGACAUCAAAUAAAUUAAUAUAGGAUAAUAUACACAUAUUCUUGAAACUAUUUAAUAACAUACUAGCCAAAAUCGAUCGAACAAAAGAGAAACAAAAGGGCUGAUUUUUUAUGUUUGAAGACAGACCGGGUCAAAAUUACUUUUAAGGCUCAAUUUUUAGAAAAAGCAGCAGUAUAUACACACAUAUACAUAUGUUUUAACAAGUCCAUAUGCUCAAACAAGAAACAACUUUUCCAAAAAAAAAUAGGUUUCAUUCACAGAAUUAAAGGGAAACAACAAUGACAUGAGUUUGAAAUUGAAAUAAAAUCACAUAUUCAUGGAACCGAACUAGGAAUGAAACUAAAGGAGACAGAUUCGUACUUAGGAUGCAAAAUAGCCUCUCUCGAAACAAAAUAGUUUUAAAGAUUAAAAGAGAAAAAAUUAUGUUUUGAAAUUAAUUUCCAGAGAAUAAACAACAACACCAUAAUAAGACCUGAAACAAAUUAAAAUCACACAUCCACUAGAUUCAAAAAUGACCUACGGAGAAGAUAUGAAGGCCACAUGAAAGAUGGGUGUUUACCUUAUAUUGUGCAGCAAAGCUGAGGCUUCCCGUAGAGAAUCCUAUGGCCACAAAACUCAAAACUCGGGAACUCAGAAUUUACGAAACCAAGGACCAAGUGAAGUAAUUCUUGCAGCCCUUUGCUUGUGAAAUUGUCAGGCGUUAAUCAACUUUUCCCCAUUUUGCCCUCUAUUUUUCACUUUGUUUUUCUCUCUCCUUCUGGAGAAUCAAAGACAACCAUUUAUAGGCACAAAUCUAGACUUGAAAGUUCAGAUUUAGAAUAAAAAUUUAUUCAAAAUGUGUGGAUCUGAGAGGAGAUUUGAAAAUUCAAGUUCAAAUUUCUAAAAUAAAUCCUCUUUUUCUCCAUAUCUUGAUAAUUUGCAGAGAACUGAUGGCAGAUUAAUCUGUUUUCCAUUAUAUCAUUGAUUUGGGAUAGAUUUUCUGAUUUUUGAAGGGAUUCAUGGAUUGGGAGAUGUUAAAAUGGGAGGAAUCUCGUGACAGCCUGUUUGGAUGGUUAUCAUGGAACCAUGUUUAUUUUCAUGGUUUUCUAAAAAUGGUGAUAGGUAUGUUACUAUUCUAUGUUUGAUAACCAUGAAAUGAGGCAAUUUCUGGAACUACCAAUUUGGUGGUGUGGCGUGGUUCUCCCUUUUUUUUUUUUCCAACUUUGACCUUAUAUAAUUUUAUUAAAACCCAUUAUACCCUUUUACUUUUCUUAACCUUAUAUACUCUUUUCUUCAACUUAACUCUCUUUUUCACUGCAGCACCCAUCUCUGGCACCACCCUAGCAUUUAACAUAGUAGUAUCCUCAGAAAAAAUAAGAGACGCUGCUAUCUCAUUGACGCCUUUUAGGGUUUUUUUCAUUUUCGGGGUAAGAAUAGAUAUAGGUAUAGCUAUUUUGUAAGGCCGACCACGAUGGAGAUAGUAGGAAGUGGAAGAAGGAGGUGGGUCGAUGAACUCAAUGUAGCUGACAGAGAAAACGACGUCAUCAAUGCCCUCAUUGAAAAUUUAU
rnacentral:lncRNA from 1 species